rnacentral:lncRNA from 1 species
AGUAUUCUAAAUAUCCUUAAAUAUUAUAAUAAAUUAGAAAAAAAUAAAAUUAUUUAGAAUUUUGAAAGAGGAUUUUGGUUAAGAGAGAAGAGAGUGAUGAAAAGAAAGAGAAAUGGGGUGUUUGUGAGAGAGGGUUUUGAGUAAUUCACUUUGUAAUAGGCCAAUCUUGAGCUCAAAACAAAGUUGGAUUGAACCAUACCAUAGUUAGUUAAUUCGGAUUCGGCAAAAAUUCGGUACGGGUAUAAUUCGGAUAAAAUUCGUCUUCUAAUUUUUAAAUUCGUUAAAAAAAACGGCUAAAAAACGGAUUCGCCAAUUAUUCGGAUACGUGAUUUAUACGGAUAUUAUACGUUCACUAAUUAAAAAUUCGGGAUCAAAAAUUCGGCUAUUAAAUUAAGUNAAAAUUUAAAAUUUAAAGUUUGAAAUCUAUUUUUUAAAAUUUAAAAUUUAAAAGUUAAAAUUUAAAAAUUCAAAAAUGAAUCUGAAAAUUAUAUUUAAAUAUUGAAAUUAAAAUAAAAAUAAAAAUUUGAAGUUUAAAUUCAAAAUCAGAAUCAGAUUUCAAGAAUCAGUUUUUUUCUGGUUCUGAUUCUGGGGCCUUCAAAAUUAGUUUUCUGGAUCUAAAACGCAGAAUCAGAUUUUAAAAGUGAGUUGUCAAACGCUUUAUUGGGCCGAAAAUUAUUUUUCAGCCUAAAAACGUUUUUUAAAAACUAGGCCAAAUACUCCCUAAAUUAAGUAGAUAUAAUUUUUCAAGUUUGACUUUUUAUGAGAUUAAUUUGUGAUAAUAAAAAAUAAAAUCAGUUAAGCUGAAUUUAGCUACUGGACUCGGCUGAUUUGACUAAUAUCUAAUAUUCACGAGUUCGAUGAUUGAACUAUUAGUUUAAAUCGUUCACAGAAGUUUUUUGACUAUUUGGUUUAAAGAAUUGAACUGAAUUAAAAAAUUUGAACCCAACUAAAAAUUUGAAAUCCGUUUGAAAAUAUAAACUUGAAAUAAUUAUUUUUUUACCAUAUUUUAAAAAAUAUUAUAUUAAAAUCUAAAUUUAUAAAAUAUAAUUUUAAAUAUUACAUCAAAUAUUUAUAUAUAUUAUAAUAAUAAUAAUAAUAAUAGGGAUAAUAUCUAAUAUUUUAUUAAAAAUUUUAAAAAUAUCUAAUAUACUCGCGGUGGAUUAAAACCCUUAUUGAUUUUCAAAAAUUUCUUCCAAUAUCUUCAAAUCCUUAGGUUAGAAGGGUAUUUUUGUAAUUUUAGAGUAAAUUUAAAUUUUUUGAAUAGUAAUUUAAAGUAAACUAGUGUAGAUACCCGCGCGUUGCUGCGGAUAGAUACUAUUAAAAUAAAAAUUUACAAAUAAAAAAAUUAUCAAUAUAGCUAAAUAAAAUAUUAGUAGGCCAACAAUAAAUAUCAAGAAUUAUAAACUUUUAGUAGAUAGAUACUACUGAGGUGAGGUGGUGACAUUUGCGACCAAAUAAAGACGACUAUAUAGUCAAUAUAUAGCAAGAAACCCAUUAGGAAUAUGUAAGGUAAUUAGUUAACAAAUCUUACUCUUGAGUACACAAAAAUAUAAUAAUAUAUAUACAAUCAUUCACAAAUCACAAUAGAUUAUCUAUCUACCUACUGGAGUAUUUUCUUUGUCAACGCGUGAGUAGAUAUUGAGGUAAUCAAACCACAGAUUCCACUGUACUUUGACUUUUUUAACCUUCGUAAAUAAGGUUUUUCACUCAGAUGUCUAGUUUUAGUGUGCAACCUCAAUUUGAAAAUAACUUUCGAGAUUUACGCAUUGAACAACGAAGCAGUUCUGCCUAAGUUUGGGACCCAAAUUUAAUUUUUUAGGUUUUUUUUUCUAUGCCUUCUUCAUGAAGUUGUUGAGUCCAAUCGAUACACUAUAAAGUUCAGUAUAAUCAACGGCAACAGUAUUAACAGUAUUGUUAAAUUUAACAUAUUUUUAUUGAAAUUAGUUAUUCUGAAUAUUUGUAUGGUUGAUGGAACGAUGCAUUCUAUCAACUGUGAAUUGUUGGUAGCUAAUUAACUAUCGAUUUCAGUGAAUCUUCAAAUCAAUUUAGAAAUUUAUAGGUGUCAAUGAGAAAAUAAAGAUUGGGUGCCAAUUACAAAAUGGCCAGUAAUCGAAGGCAGCAGCAUUAGCAAAAAAGUAGUGGCAUCAGCAGCAUCAGCAUUUGCAACAUCACCAUCAGCAGCAGAAUCAACAGCAGCAGCUUAGGGAGAAGAAACAGCAGUAGUUACAUAACAAUGAUUAGCAGCAGAAAAAUGCCGAGAAGAAUUAAAAGAAAAAGGAAGAGAGCCAGAGCAAGUAACAGUAGCAGUAGCAGUAGCAGCAUUACUGUCAUCAGGAACACGAUCGAUAGUAGCAGCAAAAAAAGACAAAGAAAGCGCGAGAUUUAGACUACUUAAUGUUGACUUUAAUUGGUUAAUUUAGAAGAUUAUUACCACAAACAAACUACACUCCCAAUUAAAGAGAAUCAUUGAUAUUUACAAUCCCAUUAAAAGAAAAUCAUUGAUAUUCAUUGAUAGGUCCUAAAGUACAUCUAUUGAUCAACCAUGAUAAUAAUAAUAAAUACAAACUUAUAAAAUAUUGAAGUAUAGAAGAAGGCCUUGACUAACAAAUAUAACAAAUGAGUCCCUUUGGAAUCAGGGCAAAAUCUAACAGCAACACUUUCAUGUUGAAGUGUAUUUAAGAUUUUUUUUUUUACCUUAAUUUUUGCAAUAUAGUUCUGAAUGGCACAUAUAAACCUUGGAUGGCUCCAAAAUUUGUCUUUGAUGCAGUUGGACCAAAAUUAAUACCUGAAAAGCAUCGGCAAAAAAUUGAUAAAUUAGUUUCUUUUCUUUGUUUCAGGAUGGGCAAAAUGUGGGAAAUGAUGUACUUACUGAAAAACACAACAAUUUAAGGCAUAUUAGUGAAGUUUAAUUACCAAUUAGUCUAGAAAUAAGAAAUGGUUACAUGAAGCUUUACGGGUUAAGCAUAAAGGUAAAAAGGAACAAAAAAUAGAAUGAUUGCUACACGGAAAAGCCAUAGGAUUCCUGAGGAGAAGACAAAAACACUGUUAUAAGAAAAAGAAAUUCAAUAUAUUAGGCAAGAUUGCAUAGAUGCAUUAUAUAGGCAAAAGCAUAGCAGCGAGGAGGAGGGAUGUAACCGCAAGUAGGGCAUACGAAUCGGCGUGGAGGGUAGAGGAAUUGAUCAAAAACGGUUCGAGCAUCCAUCAUAUGUAACGGAUUAGGGAAGAGAGGAGAGGCCAUAUGAAACGGAGAGAGGAGAGGGAACGACGCAGGAAGAAAGGAAAGAAAACGCUCCAACAGAGAGAGGAGAUGGACUCGGUGGAGAGGAGAGAGAAAAUGGCGAAACGCUCCCUUUUGUACGAAAAAACUGUCACGCCCCGGGGUUCCUUUNUUUUGGGCCGAAUUAUUCGCGAAUUCCGUUUAAUUCGCGAAUAAUUCUUUUUACCCAAAAAAACGCGAAUUUUUCCGAAUUUUUGGGAAAAAUACGAAAACGGGAGUUUUAUUCGGCAUUUCAAAAAUUCGCGAAUAAUUCGCGAAUAAUUCGCGAAUUAACUAACUAUGAACCAUACAUGAAUUGAGCCUUUCUGAUUCCAGAAUAAAAUGAAAAUCGAAAUUCGUUUUCCAUAAAAUAAACAAUAACUAUUAAAAUUAAUAAACUUCAUUUCGAUUCCAUAGUUUAAAAUAGAUAAACCAAAAAAAUUCUUAAUCAGAAACUCUGAGACCAUAAUAAAAGUGUCAUCAUAUUUGUGUUAAGAAAAGUGAGGCUUUGAACUUAGGGCCCGUUUGGUUCGAGUUAUGUAAUAUUACAAAGUAUCUCGACAUAUCCAGAUAUUUUGAAUUUCGGCGUGAGAUUACUACUAAUGCUGCAUUAGCGCGUUUGGCUUAAUGCAAUAAUGUAAUACUAGAUUACAGUGUUUAUAGCAUUAAUACGUUUGGUUCAGUUUAUAAAAUUUAGUAAUCCUGACAUAAAAAUUAGUUUUUUUUCAAAAUUGUCCUUGUCGUAGUCAUUUGAAUAUUAUUUUUUACGGAAAUGACGAAUGGAGGGAAGACCUGGGAGGACGACGCAAUAGAAGAUAGGUGUUCGUGCGAGAGAGAGAAAAAGAUAGAGAUAGAGAUAGAGAGAGAGAGAGAGACGUGGAGAGAGAGAGAGCAAGAGAAAGCGGCAUGCGAGAGAGAGGGGGAAGGCGAGAGAGAUGAAAAUAAUACAGUUAAUUAGAUUUGGGGUUGUUGGAGGGUAAAAUUGUCAUUUUACAUAAUAUGUAGUAUUAAUGGGUUUCAAUAAUGCAAGAUACACGACCCCCCUCUCGUUAAUAUUUUCGAUGUAAUACUGCUCGAUUUGUAAUGAUAUAUUAAUGACUAGAUUACAUAGCGGAUUAACCAAACACAAUUUAUCCCUGCCAGGAUAACUCGAACCAAACGCACCCUUAGAGGGAUAUGAAAAAGACAAGGAUAUUAGAGACAACGAGUAUUAGGCCAUCUUCAAUGUGACGCCUCAACUUUUCAGGGAGUCACUUAUUCUAGAACAACUCUCGUCUUGACACAUUUAACUCUUUUAACCUUUUGGGUUUAUCCACCACCAGCAAUACUUAAGCUGGGUUAAAAGUUUUAAUUCUGUUAUAUCUUAUAUAGGACUAUAUGGGGUCUCAGAUCCAAGGCCAUAGACCUUUUUUUUUUACUUUAUUUGUCUCCCUCCAAAGAGUGUGCAUUGCCAUACUUAAAAGGUUGACAACAUUGGUCCACAAACAUUCAUGAUAAUUGAGUAACUUGGUAACAUUGCUACCCAUUAUGGCUUUUCUUGAUUCUCUAAGGCCCCAUUUGAUUUCGAAAUAACGAAUAUUGGGAUAAAAAUUUUUUUUAUUCCUAAAGUAAUUACUCUUCCGGAUUAGUCAGGAAUAAAAAUAAAUUUAUAUUUGAUUUGUAAUGCUGCUAUUUUCGGAAAUUUAAAAUUGUAUUAAUUUGAUUAAUUUUGUGGAAAGUAGAUGAUAGGGGAAUCGAUAUUUUACAAUAAAAUUAGACAUAAGAUAUACUAUAUAAAAAGAAAUAGUAAAAUAUAAUAUUUUUUUUUCACAUUCUAAUUAAACUUAAAUUUAAUAAAAAUAAAUUUAUUAUAAUAUUUAAUUAUAAUAAUUUACUAUAAUAUUUAAAGAUAAAUAAUAUGUAUUAAUAUAGUAGAAUUGAUAAGUUUAUAAUAAAAGUAAUUUAUUAUAGUAUGUAAUAUAUUAUGUCUAUAUAAUUUACAUUUAUUCAAUUUAUAAUCUUAAUAAAGCUUGGAACUAAAACUUGAAAGAGCACUAAUCCACCAAAAUGGUGGAAUAGUUUAUCUCAAGCUAUUUUCGAAUAACCGAAAAUAGCAAAGUUUUGAUCAAAACAUUUUAUUCCUGCCAAAAAAUAUCCCGUGUGACGGAAUAGUAAAGAUAACUAUAGUUAUCCUCGCUUUAUUUCUGAGCCAAACUAGACUGAAUACCCUACAAUAAAAUAGAAAAUUUGGAUCCAAUUUGGACAUAGCUGUCCAUUUUUGUGCUUAAAUAGGUUGCAUUUUAAGAAUCGGGCUGCUCAUAGCAUAUCGAGUUUUUGUUAUCCACUUUGUUUUCGAUGAUAGAGAAAUUAUGUAAUAAAUAACAUAUAGAAUUUAUGCUAUUCAUAUUUUUUUCAAUAAUGAAAAAUUCAAAUCGGCGAUCGAUACUACUAAACAUGAUGUAGAAUAUUAAAACUCUUCCGAAAGCAAGUUUCAUAUUUUUCUAAUAUCAUUUGCUCACGCAUUUAAGUGGCCAUGAAAUGACUAGUCACAAUCAAACAUAGGGAUGCAAACGGAGCGGAUAGGGGGGUAGGAGGGUUCCCCACCUCUUGCCCCAAUUCUUGUCGGGAUGAGGCAGAUUCGAGACGGAUUAUUUUUUAUUUUAUUUUUCGUUCCUACUUACCGUCUCAUUCGGGGUGGAUCGGAGCGGGAGCGAAUUUUUGGUGGAUUUUUAAUAGAUCGGGGCGGAUUGAAGGAAGAAAAGGAUCUCCUGCCUCCCCCUCCAUUUACUUGGCAGAUCGGAACGAGUUAUUUUUUUUUUAUAUUUUUUGCUCCCACUUACCACCUAUUUGGGGCGGGAGCUCCACCAAUCUGGAUCCAUUUGCAUCCCUAGUCAAGUAGCAUUUUAAAAAUAGUGGAUAUAAUUAUUGAAUUCAAAUGUCAAGUAUUUUUUUAUCUUGAUCUGAAUAGUGAAUAUAAUGUUCUGCAAAAGUUCGGUCAAUUUUGAUUGUUCUAUACGGCUAUAUGAAUAGAUGCUUUGUAUGGGACAUUAAAAUUUGUUAAUUUUAAAAUCUUUUGAUUAUCAGGUAAAUAUUUUUGAAAAAUCCUAGAACCUGUUUUGCUGGAUAGUUUAAUUUUUUAAAAUAUAUUUAACUAUAAUCGUACAGAAAUAUCCCUCCAAAAAAUAUUCAAUAGUCAAGUUCUUCCUUAUCUUCUUCUUUUUUUAAAUCCAUUGCAACAUUUUUUCUCACUCCUUUUCUCCUAAAUCCUUUCUUUUGAGAAAAAAAAAGUUGUAAAGGAAAUUGAAUGGAAAAGCAAUAUGGGCGAAGCAACAUACGUCGUGGAUGAAUGGAGACGGAGAGAUUCUAAUUAUAGGUUCGAAACAAGUAUGAAGAAGAGAGAGGAAGGGGAAGACGAAGAGGAAGUAGUAGAAGAAGAAGAAGAAGAGUUCCCAUUACUAAAAUUUUGAUUAGGAGAAGAAGAUAUAAUAUAAGAGGGAUAAAAAUAUCAAGUUAUCUGAUUGACAAACUAGGGUUAAAUAUUUAACGGUUAACUAAGUUUUUUCUAACGGAUUCUAACUGAAGGGAUAUAUUUGAAAAUAUUAAGACUCUUACCGGAACAAUAUAUAAAAAUUAAACUUUAUAGAAAAAUAUUUAUAAUUUAUUAUGUUUGCAGGGACAUGUAUGUAAUUAAUCUAAAAAAAAAAAAAAAAGCUCCUGCAUAAUUGCAAAGUUCAGAGGAUGUUCGUACAUUUUUCCUUUUUUUUUUUUUUGUUGUUCUUUUAAUCGGAAGAUAUUUUUCCGUUUCGUCGAUUUCAAAUCGCACUCCUCCUUCGAUCUCCUCUUCGAUCGGCUCGAGGUACGAAACCCUAAUCCAAGCCUAGAAUCCAUCUUCCCUUUCUCCGAUCCGAUGCUGGAUCAUUGCAUUUCGACCCGGUUUGCACUCUCUACUUUGGAUUUUUCCAAAUCGUUUCCCUUUGAUUUGAUUCAGUUUCGACUUCUCACGAAGUUCUUGCUAAAAUUCAUGAAUUCGUUCUCAAAUCUCACGAUCUCGUGAUCCGCUUAGGGUUUGAUGCCUCGUUUUACGGCAGUGGCGUCGUUAGGGUUUUUUUUUUAACCUUGUUUUGUUUGUUCAAUUGUUUCCGUGAAUUGCUUUAUAAUUGUGGGAAUAAUAAUCUUAUUGAGAAAGGGAAAUUGUUAGUAGGAUCAUCCUUAGAUUUGAAUGCGAUGUUUCUCUUGUAUGCAUAUCUACUUGCAUUGUAAAUGUGGAGAAAUGAGGAAAAACAUAACCUUUUGAGACAUCCAAGUGAAAUUGUUGGUGAUGUGUUUGUGUAUACAAUCAUAGGAGCAAGAACAGAUUGAUAGCAUGUAGGCAGUGAGAUUGGAAGAGAUUAGAAACUCGGUGAUGCUUUACUUCGGGUGGGAAUUGAGUUUAGGCCGUGUUUUGGUGUCGGAAUAAGAUGUCCAUUGAUAACUUUGGGAGUUUUUUGGUUCCUCGAAAACUCGUGGAAAAUUAAUUUUCGGAAAAAAGUUUUUCAUGGAAGACACUCUUAUGUAGUUUUUGUUUUCCGGAUGAAUACUCUGGAAAACAAAAAUGAGUCUUUUCCAUGAAAUUUGGAAACAAGUUUGCUGGAAAUAUUGUUUUUCCUGGGAACCAAACCAACAGAAACUACUUUUCUGGGCAUAAAAAUGUGUUUUGGGAUUUUUUUUUUUUUUUGCCCCAGAAAAAAAACACCCUUUAUUUGGUAUGAAGAUUUUCUUUUGUAAUUGGAAGUUCACAGUUUGAUUUUGCUCCUUCAAAGGGCUUUACAUCCAUGAUUUGGUAAGAUAGUCUCUUUCACCGACGAGGUAAUUUAUCUUAUUCUGAAACAAUGACUUAAUCACUUCUCAUCUGCCAAAUACUACAUGCUUGUUGAAUAAAUUGGAGAGAUACACUGAAAAAGAUGUUCGUUUAUCUAAAUAGGGCCUUAGUUAUGUUGAUUGACAAGAUUGAUCUCACACAAAACUAAUCUUACCUGAUGAGGGUUGAUACCUCUAUGAAAUGCCAAAGCUAUUGACUUGGCAUGCCGGUGGAAAUUGGUUUUCGUCUCUCUUUCUGAAUCGGUGUACAUCUCUCUCUCUCUCUCUCUCUCUCUCUCUCUCUCGUGUAUGAAAUUGAAUGAGUUUUCUUUUCUCUCUCUCUUUUCUUUCCAAUGACAAUUUCUGGUAUUCAUUUUGGCUUCCCAGUGAGAUAGAGAACUAACGCGGUUCAUGAACCUUCUCUCCCUAAUGAUUCAUGUUUUUGGCCUGUGAUUAAACAAUCUUUCCUUCCUUUUAUUGACCAUUAAGAUGUUUGAUCUCUUUAUUUGAUGAUGUUUUCAGAAUUUUGUAGAUAAUGUAAACAACAAAGCUAAAUUUAUUCUUGUUUAGUUUCGUUAAUUUAUGGGUAUUCAGCUGCUGCAAAUAGAUGUCAUAAUUAUAUUGUAUAAGGAAUAAUUUAAAUUUUGAAUUAGUAUGUCUUACUAAGGAAAAGGAAUAGUGAUCAUUUUUGUUUUUUUAAUCUCCUCUUUACGUGGGGAGGAUAGAGAAGGACAAUGUAAGGAGAGAAAGUUGUUCUCUGGAAUUUGGACUGUACCUAGGGAGUAAAAUAGGGACAUGAGGAGCGAAAUGGAGAGACAUUUUUCCUUGUACCCUUUGCCCUCCAAUAGUUUGAGAAAUGGAGAAAUGGAGAGAUAACAAACAAACAAAACCAACCAUCUCUAUCCUCCGAGUACCUUUUCUGUGAAUAGAGAAUCCCAAUGUUUAUUUUCAUCCAAUUUAUGAUAGAUAAGAAAUCAAUGUGAUACUUUCCCCAGCUCACGACAUAAAAUGCCAGUAUGUUAGGUUGGUGAAUUUGUUGAUCAGAUCUAGAUGGCCCAUUUAAGAGCAAAUAGAAGCACUCCACAAAAUCAUUAUAGAGAAUUUCGAUUUAGUGACAAACUAUUUAAAGUUGUAUAUGGAGGGUGAUGAUGAUAUCUUUAGUUAUUUUCUCUUCAUUGAUGUUCUCAGAUUUGGAUAAAAGAAAGUUAAUUCCCUCAUCUCCUUUUUCAAAAAUCAUUUCUGUAUUUUUCUCUUCUUUAAUAUUUCCAUCUUUUGCCUCCCCUUUUCAAGCAUGCAAACAGCGUUACAUAUAAAGUUCAGUUGCUCAAAUAAAUUUAAUGAUACAGAGGUUAUAUGUGAAAUAUCUUCAUCCAUACACUCGGAAAAAUAAAAGCCCCGAAUGAAAGAUCAAUUCGAUUUCAUGUACAUGCUUUUAGAUGUUUUUCUAAUGUAGGGAUGAAAUAGGAGAGCAACAAUUGGUGAAAACAUGGAUGAAGAGUUACGCAAUAUAAAGAAGUGGAUCAUAAUCUAUCCUGUGUAUGUAAACUCAAAGAAGACAAUUGCUGAGGGCCGCAGGAUCAGUGCUGCCAACGCUUGUGAGAAUCCCACUUGCAUUGAGAUCAGCGACUGCUGUGCGCAUUUGAAGCUUCCCCAUGCAAUUGAGGUAUCCCAAUGAUUUUUUGCUUUCCUUUUUGAGUUUUUCAUUUGUAAUUUUUCAUUGUUUUUCAUAUGUUUAGAUACAUAAUUGCAGCUAGAUAAGGCAUACCCUCGAGACUUCAUGCAGCGGGGGAGGGUCAGAGUGCAGUUGAAGCGAGAAGAUGGGACUUUGACUAAUCCUGCUAUCGCUACCAGUAAGGGUUAAUGAACCUAAAUUUUCUAUUUAUAUUUUCUUUUGGCAGUGCUAUACUUUAAAAAAAUGGGUAGGGAGUGGUAUUUCUCUUGUUAGAACUCUACUUCCGAUGUUAAGGCACUAGACAAAUGAAUAGAACACAAGAUAGUAAAUCUCAGCUUCAGUUCUAGUGUUGUUGGAUUUCAAUAGUUGCUGUCUCAGCAUUUAUAGUGUCGUUGAUAGUUUCAGGCUUCGGUUUUGGCGCCACUGACUAUCUCCAACUUGCAAAAUCUUUUGAACAGGUUAAAGUUGAUUUGGAGAACCAUUUGAUUAAAAUUUACUGUGUGCCGUUUGACAUAUUCAGUGAUGGUUUAUGUUUUACUUUCUUAAUAAUAUUAUAGGGCAACUAAGUACCGUUUUAAGGUCUGCUAAGAGAUCAUGGAGUGACAUAAGAAAUAGCAUGUCUGUCUGAAUCAAGUUUUAAUACUUUGGGGGUGUUUGGUUGGAGGUAGGUGAACUGAGGUUGCAAUUAACUUCUGAGAAAUUGAGUUCAUACGCCCCCCAGGACUAAGCGUACGGCAGAGGGCUGCUUUCAACUGUUUUUGAGCUUCACUCACUUCUAUUUCUGAUUCGUUCAACCGAGUAAAUAGAAGUGGUUAUAUCAAUUUGGAACUAUACAUGCUAGUUAAUUGUUACGUCCAGCCAAACUCCCAAUUAGAGCUAUUUUUAGCUUCUUUUAAUCUUUUAGACUGAACAAAUACACUUUGGUGUUUUACUAUCGUUUCAGAGAAUGAAAUAGAUUUUUUCUGAAUUUCAGCUGAAACAUUCAACCAUCCUUUUAAAGUAUGAAUUUUGGUUGUUGGGGUGUGGAACAAUUGGCUAAAAGUGCGAGGGGAGGGUGUUACUAGGAAGUCAUGGUGAAGAAACAUUUGGUCUCUCUCAUAGCUUGCUUGGAAUCCUUCAAAUCAAUGAUUUGGAUGAAAUUGCAGAUCAGAAUUCAUUAGAUUGCCCAUGGGAAACAUUAGUAGGAGUGAAUUGAAUGGAACCGAAUCGAUUCGUGAUGAUUUGGAUUUUGGAAUUAUUUCGGUCGAGUAUAUGUACAAAUCCGGUGUUUGAAGUCGGAUUUGCCAUAGUACAGUUUGUGUCUCCCCCACAUAAGAAAAUAUAUGCCCAAAAAUACUCUUGCUAAUUCCUUUGUGAGCCACGAAAUUCAAGUCCAAAACCAACUCAUUUGGACUCCCAGAAUUACAAAUUUAUUAAAUUCUAUCUUGAUUUGGUACCAAACCAAGCGCGAUAAACAUUUCAAACAUUUUAUAAUGACCUGACAUUCAACGUCAUUUUCAUCAUUUGAAGUUCUCCAUUUGAGUGCUUUUCGUUAAACUUUAAGAAGCCAAAUUGCUCAUCAACCUAACGGUUAUGCUUUAGCUCAUUCUUAAACUGCAGUUGUUAACUUGCUCUGCACGUGCAUGCUUCCUUAGUUUUUUGGUUUCCCAUUGCUUCACGAAUUUACCUAUCACCUCUAGAUGUUGUUUUGAAACUGAACCUUCGAAUUCAGAUAUGUUCAACCUGUUCUCUUUUCGAUCUUUUCAUUAUUGACAUAAUCCAACUGCAUUACAGGGAAGCAACUGAUGCUCCAAAUCGCGGAGCUGAUUCCGAAACAUCAGGGGAGGAUCAAGAAACAGGAGCCCGCGAGUAGUUCUGCGACUGCGGGGACUUCAAAAUCUGGAAAAGGGGGGAAGAAAAAGAAGUGAUAAUAUUCUAAUUCGUCGCAACGUGGAACCUGUGUUCUUGCCGGUAAUCUCUCUGCAAUUGUGAGAAUUUUCACCUCAUUUAGCUCUUAAAGUUAAAACUGAUUGUUGUAGAAAUUUUUGACUGUGCCAAGAUUCCAAUCCUAAAAUUGUGAUUUUUCAAGAUUGUUUUUCAAAUGUGUAAACUGCGCUGCUAGUCCCUAAACUUUUAGCGGAGUUUUAUUUUGGUCCUCAAACUUUCAAGUUGAAUGUUAGACCCUAGACUUUGAAAAAAGGUUUCAUUUUAAUUUUUGUGUAUAUUAAACAUAAGAUGGCAAAUUAUUUUUUUAGUUUUGGUACCUUAUAGUUUGAAGCAUCCCACUUUGCUAUCUUGUGGUUUUACUUUUAUCUCGUCUUUAAGAUAGGUUAUUAGAAAAGAUACUAAAUUAAUAUAUUUUAUAAAUCACAAGAUAGCUAUUUAAAAAUAUAUGUUGAUAAAAUGUUAUAAUUUGUCAUCACGUGGUUUGUAAAAUAUAUUAAUUUACUAUUAUGUAGUUUAUAAACUUUAACGGUAGGUGUUAAAUGUUAACAUUGAGAUAAAAGUAAAAUCACAUGGUAGCAAAAUAAAACACUUCAAACUAUAGGGUAUUAAAUUGAAAAUGCGCAAAUUCAUUGGGGGCAAAUUGAAGUUUUUUCUUUAUUUUAUAUGAUAUAUUUGAAUACAAUCAUUCAUUAUGUUACUCUCUUUUUUUUUUGGGAAAAUUUCAAAUAUCACCUCUAUGGUCUCGCACUUUUUACUCUAGUAUCAUGUAAUUUAAAGUGUAUCAAUUUAGUACCCUGUGGUUUCGCACUUUUUCACUUUAGUAUCAUGUAGUUUUGCACUUUCUCACUUUAGUACUCUGUGGUUUAAAGUGCAUCAAUUUAAUACUCUAUAGUUUUAUUUUUCUCUUUUCGUCGGCUCCUCUAUUAAUAUUUUGUUAAAUUAUAUACAAAAAAUUUUCAGAUACUCUACCUAGAAUUAUCAAAUAUUUAUUUUAUUACCCUUUAGUUUUAACUUUAUUAUUGAUUUUUUUUCCCUCCGUUAAUAUUUCAUUAAAUUAUAUACAAAAAAAACUUCAGAUACUCUAUCUAGAUUUAUCGAAUAUUUUACUUUAGUACUCUUUAGUUUUAACUUUGUCACUGAUUUAACAAAAAAAAAUAGUGAAAUGGAUAAAAAAAAAAAGAAAAGAAAAAUGAAACCACAGGAUACUAAUUUGAUAUAUUUUAAACCACAGGGUACUAAAGUGAGAAAGUGCGAAAUCUCAGGGGCUAACUUGAUACACUUUAAACCACAGGGUGCUAAAGUGAAAAAGUGUGAAACCAUAGGGGGGUAUUUGAUAUUUAUCAUUUUUUUUUUUGUCCAUUUAGAAGCAUGCAAGAAAUAAUUUAUACUCUUUGGUAAGGAAUUUAGACGUCGUUCAACGUUCAGGGACUAAAUUGGACCAUUGUUCAAAAUUCGGUGUCUCGAUUAUGGAAUUUAAUAGUUUUGAGGACUAAAAGGAAACCCCAGAUAAAGUUUCGGGGCAAAUAGUGUAAUUCGCUUAUAUUGUGUUAUAGGAUAAUUUAUUUCUUUUGAUUCGGUUUUUGGACACCUAGAUUCCAUCUAAAUAUAAUUAAGAAUCAAUCACCCUUUUAUUAUACAACUAUAUGAAUAUUUUUUUUCGUUUAUUCUUAUUUUAUCUUUUAUUUGUUGGCAAAAAUGUUUAUCAAGUGACUAUAUCUUUAUAAUCUAAAUCCUGGCGAUGUAUAGAACUAUUGUUUCUUAAUUAGGUGUGAUUAAUCUUAAACACUUAUUACGAUGAGUUCCCUAAAGAUCAUAUAUACUUCCCCAAUUUCCUUGCAACAAAUUAGGAUGAUAUCUAAUAUAUUCUUCAAAACUGCAAAAAUAUAUAAUAUAUUUCUACUUGAUCAAAAUAUCCUUAUUGAUUUUUAAAAAUUUUCUUUAAAUAUCUCCAAACUUCUAGAGUUUUUUAAUGGGAUUUGGGGUUUAGAAGGGUAUUUUGGUAAUUUCAUGAUAAAUUUAAAAAUAUUUAAUAGCAGUCAAGGAUAAAUAAAGAAAGCCCCAAAUAAUUUUCUAGACACAAAAUAAACUGCACAGUGCUUUUCUCUGGAGAAAAGUUGAACAAUCGGCAUAAUUUAAGAUAAAAAUGUAUCGAAUUUAUCUAAAUUAUGGACUAUGUUGAUUUGGCUAUCGAAUCUUUUAACUUGAAAAUUUUUUCAAUUUGUUUGAUUUGAGUCAGUCAACUGCACUUUGACUUCAAAAUUUAAAUGCGUUGUUUUUUUUUUAUUAUUAUAGAUUUAUCUAGCAUAUUUCACAAAAUUCUGACUCACUCAAAUCAAAUAGAUUGAAAGGUCGAGCAGUAAAAUCAAAUUUUAAAAGGUUGGACAGUUAAUUCAAAAUGGUUUAUAAUUCAGAUAAGUUUUGUACGUUUUUACAAAAUUUCAAUUAGCUUUCCUGUGGUUUACUUAAUUUGUAUUUGCCAGAAUGGGUAUAUUUGAAUCUGAGAAAACUUAACUGCUGGUCCAACUCCAGCCUUGUGAAGUUCAGGUUGUUGUUCUCAAGUCAACUUCCCUUUUAGUUUGUUUGUUUUGAUAAAAGUUACUUGUGUAAAACAGUGAGGUAUUAUCAUUUUUGUUGUUUGUUUUACUAAAUUUAUUGUUAAGUGAAUUUUUUUUCCACCAUUAAUAUUUAUUUCAUCAUAAAUCACCCACUCUUAAUAUUUCAGAACUUUCAAGAUAAAUUUUAGAAAAAAAUAAUUUUUAUUAUGUAAUAUUUAAUAAUUUUUAUGUAAAGUGAAGAGCAGCGAAAUCAAAAUUAGGCAUGCGAGGUGUAAAUUUAACUUCAUGUAGAACAUUUUUGUACACUUACAUCAAAACAAACAACGAAAACUACCGGUCUAUCACUUCCACCGAAACUCCACUUCUCAGAAAUAAAGCUAUCCCAAUCUUGUAGUUGCACUCAGGUUUACUUUUACUUCAUCAUAAGAGCUUAUUGAUUAAAUGAAAUAUCAAAGUUAUAGAUCUUAUAGAUCAUAGAAUUGCGAAAAUUUACUGUAUCACACUUACACUACAUCAUCAAUAACCGGUCAAUCGCAUCUCUUUUUUUGAGAGAAAAGUAUAAUAAAAAUAUUUUUUCUAAAAAUCAGGGUGAGAUGGGUGAACCCAAGGUAAAAAAAUCUGAUCGACUGAGGAUGCCACAUCAUAUCCGGUGCAUUCUAGACUUUUUUUCAUAAAAUGUAGAAUGCAAAUUGUAGAAUGAUUAAAUUAUAUUUAUCACAUUGUGAUUUGUAUAAUAUAUAGUACUUUGUUAUCGUAUUUCAUGGUAUAUAGGCCCCUAUGAUUGAUAAAAGUUAAAAUCGCAAGCGCUACUAAAGUGCAACUUUUUAAGCCACCGUGGGCAAAAUUAUAAACUAUUAGAUAAGAAAAGUUUGAUCUUAAAACUGCUGAUCUUAAGGCUUGUUUGAUUCAUCUAUUUUAAACUAUAAAAUCAAAAUGAUAUUCGUUGAUUUCAAUAGUUGUCAUUUAUUUUAUAGAAAUCGAAUUUUGAUUUUCAUUUCACUCUGAAAUGGAAAUGGCCAAAUCCAUUUAAAGGCCUAAGUCCAGCUUUGAAUCCAUGAUUGAUUCAUUCCAAAGUAAACCAUUUAAAUCCUUCUCUCACAAACACCUAUUUCUUCUUUUUUUUCAUCACUCUUCUUUUUUUCAAUCAAAGCGCUCUCUUAAAAUUUUAGAUGUUCAUUCUAAUUUUCAUUUUAAUAAUGAACUAAAUAUUUUUAGAUGAUUCGUCUUUUUUAUUUUUCAUUACAAUACAAUCCAAUUCCCCCCACCCCCAAAACAAAAUAAUAAUAAAAUAAAAAAAAUUUGGUGUAGAUAAUACCCAUUGAUGAGGCAAAGGCAGGUAAGGUAAAUACCCGACCCGACCCGACCCUGUUUAUUGUUUUCGGUUCGAUUCGGGUCCUAUCCGGGUCAGUUUUGACCCGACCCAAUAAGUAAGAAUCCAGUGAGUUGGUCGGGCUCGACUAUUUGGUAGUAGGAAUGCAAGAGCAGAUGGCAAAACAACCCGCCCCCUUUUGUAGACAAAUUGUGAGAAAACGUUCUGUCAAUACUCGUUUUUUUAUUUUUAUUUUUUAUUAUUUAAAAAUUUAUAUUUUAUAUUUUUAAAAUGUAGAAAAAAUUUAUAGAGAGAUGCAGUGUUAACUGUGAUAACAAAAUGAUCAAAUUAUCCGUCACUCUCUUCGUCUAUUCUGCUCAUUCGUAGCCUCUCCUUCUUCAUCCUUCGUGCCUUCCUCAACCAUGGCUCCGACUCCCUUUUCUCCAUCUACUCUCCUGCUCCUCUUGCACCCUCACCGCCCCUUCAUUUCGGCAACGAUAGGGAGGACAUCAAGGUGGGCAUGGAUCGAGAGAUGGGCGAGGGCAAAUGCGAGGGAGCAGAGGAGGGCGAGGGCGUGUGCAUGGGUGCAGACGGAGGGGUGGGCGAGGGCGAGGCGGCGAGGUGGGCAAGGCGGUGCGGUCGAGGAUGUCGGUGAGGAGGGAGAAGACGCAUCUGAGAUAAAAUUUUCAAAGAUAUUUUGGAUAUAAAAAUAGUAUAAUAAUAAUAAAAUAUAAACAAAAUCUUAAUACAACACUUACGGUGAGAGCCGAAAUGAAUAUUUUUUAUCUUUUUAAGGAGACAAAGUAUAGAUUUUUAAAUAACAAAAAAAUAAAAAAUCAAGUAUUGACAAAGGAUUUUUUGCAAUUUAGUAUAAUUUUUAUCAUCAUAUUUUUGACCGUCAUUCACCGCUCCAUUUAAGACGAGUCAGGACGAGAGCGAAUAUUUGAUCGAUCUUUGAUGGAUCGGGACGGAGGCCCGCUUCAUUUUCUUAGUGGAUCAGGACGGCUUCGUAACGAAUUAUCCCCAUUCGAAGCGGAUCUGAGUGGGAGCUCCACUAAUUCGAAUCCAUUCACAGCCCUAUUUGGUAGUUCAAACGCAAGCUUUUCAUGCUCUUUUUGCUAUUUAUUUUUAUUUCCUUUUUUUCCUUCAUUAAAAUCUGUUACAGAUUCUAUUCCUAUAAUAAAUACAAUCUUUUUCAAAAUUUAACAAAAAAAUCUUCCUAAAAAAGAGAACGAAAUUUGGGGGGAAAAUUACAUCCACAAGAUUCAAAACAUUUGGAUUCUUAAAAACGAUUUAUAUAUAUUUAACCAGAAUUUCAGCUUAAUUGGUUUGAUUUAUCAAGUUAAUCUUGAGUAAUCUUUUUAAUUAGAUUCAGUGAUAGUUUAUACAAUUAUAACUACAUUUACACAUACAUAAACAAAUAUAGAUAUAUUUAAACAAAUAUUCAUAUACAUAUAAAUAUAUAGUUUUACUUUGUUUUUAGCUUUAAAAUAAAAAACUACAACAUGAAACUUAUCUGAACUAUGGACUAUUUUCAAUCGACUACAUGACCGUUUAAAAUUUUGAUUCUACUCCCAACUUUUCAAUUUCUUUGGUUUGAAUCAGUCAACGAUACUUUAACUUCAAAUUUUGAAUGCGUCAUUUAUCUUCACGAAUUUAGUUAAUAUAUUUCAUACAAUUUUCGUAAUUAUAAAUUCGUUUGUCCAUAUUUUAGAUAAGUUUUAUACGUUUUUACUAGCUUCUGAACCCAAAACUGAGAGUCGCAACUUAGUAAAAAAUUCAAAUUAAACCAAAUUAAAUUUAUCAUAAAUAUUUAAUUAUUAUUAUUUUAAAUUUUAUUAUACAGAACUAUUGGUCCAAUCACAAACUUUCCAUACUCCUUCCCUUUUUUUUAUUUAAUUUUUUUUAUUCAUUAAAAUCUGUUUAGAGAUUUUGUUCCUAUAUAAUAAAAGAACAUAUUUUCUUUUUACCAAAACUUAACAAAAAUAAUAUAUACAGAGUAUGGCUAUAAUGCUAUCAACAAAAUCAAACAUUCGGUGCUAUUAAGUUUUUCAUCGUUAGAUUUAUUUCUUUAAUCAUUUUCAUCCGUUAGAUAACACUGCUCAAUCAAUCAUCCACUCAAUUCUAAAAAAUCAAUAUUAUUCUAACCGUACAUCCCUUUAUCCAAGGGCCAAAAAUAUAAUAGCACUAUAAAAUGAAAUUAAGAUAAAAGCAUAUAGAGAUAUAUUUCUGCGCUCUUCGGUGGGAGAGCAGAAAAUAUAUCAUAACCGACGAUAUGCAAAUGUAAUAUUACGUACGAAAACAAAUAGUACUUUCUCAUCGCACGUAACACAAUCUCCCCGCAAUUGGAGUUAGGGUAAAAGCAUAUAAGGAUAUGCUUCUGAUAUUUUUUCAACGUAUUUUUCAAUACUUUCUCACCACACGUAACGCAAUCUCUCCGUAAUUUCAAACUAAAUCAAGAAAUAAUAAAUCGGUGCUAUUAAUAAUAUGUAUAUUAUAUAUAUAUAUAUAUAUAUAUAUAUAUAUAUAUAUAUAUAUAUAUAUAUAUAUAUAUAUAUAUAUAUUUUAUUCCAUAAACAGAGGGAGAGAGAGAAAGGAAGGAGGAUUAGGUGCGAAAUCACAGCCGUAGGAUUGUGAUCUCUCUCGCCCCCACUCUUAUCUUUCUCUAUUUCUGUUUCCGUCCCUCUAAAUAUAUUCCUCUCCUGAGUGUGUGUGUUUUUAUUAGGGUUUUAGAGAGAGAGAGAGCAAAAAGAAGAAGAAGAAGAAGAGGAGGAGAUAUAUGCAUUCUUUUUUCUCCAUUUCCUUUUCACAUAUGCAACAGAGAUUAUUAUUGUUAGUGGGUUGGAAAUCGAUUUCCAUGCGAAGGUAUAAUAUAAUCCUUUUUUUUUUGUUUCAAUUUUUUUUUUUCAUAUUUUCUUAGAUUAAAUCCUCAAUUGUUUUUUUUUUGUUGUAAUCAGGGUUGGAUUUGGGGUGAAGUACUUUGGGUUCCAGCAUAUAGAAGCGUGUAAUUUCCUCUUCAUCUUCUUAAGAUCUGGAUUUGUUCCUGAUUAUUUCGAUUUUUGUUGAGAAUUUUGAUCGAGAGAGAGAGAGAGAGAGAGAGAGAGAGUGAGAGAGAGAGAGAAAGUAAAUGAAAAUGAAAAUGAAAAUGUCGGGGUCGAAGCGAAGGGUUAAUAAUAAGAGGUUGGAGUCGACGAACCAGAUCGAAUCUCGGCCGUCGGUGAGGAAGGUUCGGGUCGUGAUGGACGACCCAGAUGCGACGGAGUCGAGCGAGGACGAGGGAGGAGUCGGCGGUGGGAGGCGCGUCGUUGCCGAGUUCUUCGUCUACCCGAUAAACCCUAACCCUAACCCUAAAACCCUAAUGAAGAGAUCGAGGGCGAAGAGGAGCUUACCGAAGAACCCGAAGUCGUCGUCGUCGUCGUCGUCGUCGUCGCCGUCGCCGCCGAGGUCGUCGUCGCCGCCCUCCGCUCGGUUCAAGGGUGUGCGGCGGCGGAAGUGGGGGAAGUGGGCGGCGGAGAUCCGAAACCCUAAGACGCGGACGCGCCUCUGGCUCGGCACCUUCGACACCGCCGAGGCCGCCGCCGCCGCCUACCAGGCCGCGUCCCGCCGCUUCGCGGAGGAGCUCGCCGGCUCCUCCCCCUCCGCCGCGGCGGAGGCGUUCUCGGCGCCGUCGCCCUCCUCCGUGCUCGACCUCUCCUCCGCCUCCGCCUCCUCCUCGGCGGCGGAGGGGGAGGCGGCGCCGGCGCCGGUGAAGACGGUGGCGGAGCUGAUGGAGGAGCUGGGGCUCCCGUUCCCGUACAUCGGCCUAGGGUUUGAUGGGCUCGAGAAGGGCGACGACGAGCUGGGCGAACUCGGCGACGACGCCCUGUUCGGUGCCGACUUCGACAUCGGCGAAUUCCCCGACGUCGCCGACUUCUUCAAUCUCGACGCGUUCGCGGAGCGCGAGCUCCAAACCUGAUUCGCCCCCCACAAUUUUCCGAAUAAUCUCCAAUUCACCCCCCCUGGUUUUACGCCCUUUCACUCUGCCACUUUUUUCUUUAAAAAAAUUCACACUUUACUCCCUCAUAAUUUUAUCUUUAUUUACAAAUUAAGAUAUACGGUUAGUAAUUUUAAAAUCUAAAAUAUAUAAUUUUUUGAACCGGAGGGCGGCAAAGUGGGAUGUGUUAUUAUGAGAAAGUGGAGGGGCUAGGAUGCAAAAUGUGCAACUGUGAGUAGGUAGGGUUUUUCCCAGCUGUAAUUGAGCUGGCCCUAUUGAGAUUUUUUUUUUUUUUUUUUGGGUCCUCUCACUCCACUCCUGAGUAAUUAGGGCUACGAUUUUGUCCCUCAAUUUUUUAUGCUUUAUAAAUAAAUAUAAAUAUAUUUAUGAACACUUGAAUGGAAGUGAGGCUUUGUCUCUACUAUGUUGCUGUUAUUAUGCAGUUUUAUGCAAUGCUUCUUUGUGUUGUUUCCCUUAAAUGUGGCCUUGUGAGUUAUGUCACUUUAUGUGUAGUAGCCCUUUUAGUAUGGAGGUUCAUUUAAGAUGGAAAUAUAUAUAGAGAAUUAUAGAUUCUGCGUCUUUUGAUGGGAUUACAGAAAAUAUAUUACAUGAUAACUGAUUUAUUGCGUGAAGUUUUGGACCGUUUGCCAAUGCUUACAUCAUUAUUCUUCUUCUUCUUCUUCUUCUUCUUCUUCUUCGGUGGCAGUUAUUACUGUAAUUUUGUGGCAUAACAAAAGACAGGGCUAAAAGCGUUUUAAUAUAUUUUAAUCUUCUAAAUAUAAAAUAAGUGUUUUUAAUUAUCACAUUUCCAGAUAGAGUCCGGCUACUAAACUUUUAUAAGUAUAAGUUCCUUUGUAUUUUUAAGUUUUCAGCCGUUAAAUCUACUCUUUUGAUUAUUUCCAUCUGUUAAAUUAUGUUAUUCAACCAACCAUCUACUCAGCCUUAUGAGACACUUUCAUCCUAAUUGGGGGUCACUAUCAUCCUAACCGUACAUAUCUUUAUCCAAUGGUUGAAAAUUUACGAGUUCAAGAGGAUUUACUCGUAAGAGUAUAGUAACCAUAGCCUAUUUUAUGUGCCACUUCGCAUGGAGUUUUGGCAAUGUAUUUAAGCCAAGCAAAGAUCAUAUUCACAAACAAUCAAAUAUAUUUUAUCAAACACUAAUUGAAUGUACGUACAGACGCACAUUAAAUUUAUAUUAAAGAGUUAUCUCAAAUCAACAAAAAUUUGUUCAUCAUAUUUAUCAAAAAAAUUACAAUAAAAUAUCACUGGAUUCAAUGACGUUAGCGUGAUGUCAUAAAUAUUUACUGAGUAUAGUAUUCUAUAUUUUUGAAUAUUGUUAUUAUUAUAUAAUAAUUAAAAAUAUAUUCAAAGUGUAAAUUAUUAGAAACUAAUGCGUAUUUUUAAUUAAUUAUUGAUUAUUGAAAUAUAUAAUAAAAAGAAAUAUGGUCUACUGGUCUGAACGGGUCAAAGCUGGUUUUAAGAUCAAGAAUUAAAGUAUUCAUCGGCACGAGCCGUAUCUACCGUACCGUAUCGUGCUAACAAAAUAUCGGCACGAUACAGCUCCCGUACUGAUGGCACAAUUCAAAAUCAUUUAUUUUUAAAAUUAAUAAAUAAUUUUUUCAAUAAAGUUAAAAAAAUUAAUAAAAAUAUAUAAUAAAUAAUUGGUAUAUUUUGUUGCUAAAGAAAAUAAAUAUUUUAUUUUGUUACGUGUUGGCACACAUAUUUUUUGUGACUGAUAAGUAUCGACACAGUCCGGCACGCAUCAUAUCAUAUCGUGCCGGUAAAUUUUCGGUAUGACUCGGUGUCAUGCUACUUAAAUUCUUAUUUAAGAUAGUUCAAUUUAAUGGGCUGAACCGAACCAAUUUAACUACCGACCACAAUCCAACUGGCCAGGUUGAUUUGAGUUUUAAAGCAUUUAUCCAUAUUUGAAUAUUAAAAUAAGUUAUUCAAAUAUAAUUUAUUUAAUAUAAUAAUUUUCUAAUACAAUUAAAAAUAAAGAAUUUGAUUUUUCACUUCUUCAAAAAUUUUAUUAUCCAUAAUUUAGGAUGAUACAUUUUAAUUAUAAAAUAAUUUAUUUUAUUAUAAAAAAUAAUUUAAAGUCCUAAUAUGAUAUUUUAUUCUAAAUCUUAUAUCACACCCUACAUCAAUCAAAUAUCUAAUUUUUUAAAUAAAUUAAAAAAUAUACCGAACAAAUAUUCAGAACGAUCUUAAGAAAAUAAAAAAGAAAAAGUUACUAGUCAAAGCUAUUGUUGAUAUUUAAGUACCAACUCCGAUUCAAAAAUUAUGUGAGAUUUUUAAUUUAAUUUAUUACCACAUUUUUUUCUCCCCGUUGCUUUGGAGCUAGAGACGUUAAUGGGUCGAAUUCGGGACGAAUUUUUAGAAAUCCGAACCCGAACCCGACUCCAAACUCGAGACCCGAAUCCGAAUCCGAACCCAAACCUUACGGAUUUUAAAAAUUCAUAUCCAAACCCGAACCCGAGCAAUAAUCCGAAACCCGAACUCGAACCCGAACCCGAACCCGAACCCGAACCUUACGGAUUUUAAAAAUUCAUAUCCAAACCCGAACCCGACCAAUAAUCCGAAACCCGAACCCGAUCCCGAACCCAAAAAUUUGAACCCGAAAUAAUUAUUUUUUUUUAAUAUUUUAAAAUAUAUUAUAUUAAAUCUAAAUUUUUAAAAUACAAAUUUAAAUAUAACAUCAAAUUUAUAUAUAUAUAUAUAUAUAUAUUAUAUAAUACAAAAUAAAUUCGGGUUCGGAUUCGGAUCGGGUACAGUCAAAAUUCAUAUUCGAAUUCGUAUCCGUCGGAUUUCUAUUUUUGAUAUUCAUAUACGAAUCCAUAUCUAUUUAGUAUCAGAUAUAUCCGUUUCAUUCAGAUUCGGAUUCGAAUAAAAUUUCGGAUAUCCAUAUAGAUUGACAUCCCUAUUUGGAGCGUAUCAACAUAUAGAUUCUUGUGUUGUGAGUAGUGUAGUACACUGUACAACGUAGGGACAAAAUUUGUCAACACUAGGUUUGGAUAUGAUCUGGUCAAAGUGAAGUGAGAGGGGAUGAAAAUAUGGAAAUAAAUACAUAAAAAAAUAAGGGAAAACUUCAAAAACCCCCUUAUGGUUUUACUUUUUCUCACUUUAGUAUCCUUUGGUUUAAAGUGUAUCAAGUUAGUAUCCUGUAAUUUUGCACUUUUUCACUUUAGUAUCCUGUGUUUUAAAGUGUAUCAAGUUAGUAGCCUAUGGUUUCGCACUUUAUCACUUUAGUACUCUAUGGUUUCGCACUUUAUCACUUUAGUAGCAUCUGGUUUAAAAAUCACAUAGUACUAACUUGAUACAAAAAUUAUAUCAAGUUAGUACUCUGUGGUUUUGCACUUUUUCACUUUAGUAUCCUGUGUUUUAAAGUGUAUCAAGUUAGUACCCUGUGGUUUCGCACUUUAUCACUUUAGUACUCUGUAAUUUCGCACUUUAUCACUUUAGUAGCCUGUGGUUUAAAAAUCACAGAGUACUAACUUGAUACAAAAAUAAAACCAUAGAAUACUAACUUGAUACAAAAAUAAAAUCACAGAGUACUAACUUAAUACACUUUAAACCACAGGGUACUGAAGUAAUAAAGUGAGAAACUAUAGGAUACUAAUUUGAUACAUUUUAAACUAUCUGGUACUAAAAUAAAAAAGUGCGAAAUCACGGGGAGGUUUUUAGAUCUAAUUUUUUAGAUCCAUUAUAAUUUAAUAAUAUUAGUUGCUCCACAUUUGAUCCAUUAUAAUAAUAUGUGUUACACAUUUAUUGUGUUCACGUGGAAACAGAGGACGUGUGCACUGCAGGUUGCUGCUACAUUGAAGGGAGCUUGUCUAUAAUAAAUAAAUAAAAAAAUAUAAAACAUAUAAAAAAAAGCGUUUGUACGGACUUGUAAAAAAUAAAGGAAAAUUUCAAUACCAUCCCUAUGAUUUUAUUUUAGUAACUUAUAAUUUAAAGUGUAACAAUUUAUUAGUACUUUAUAAUUUCAUAUUUUUUCAUUUUAGUAUCCUAUGAUUUAAAGUGUAUCAAUUUAGCAUUCUGUGGUUUCAUCUUUCUCUUUUUGCCAGCUCCUUUGUUAAUAUUUCGUUAAAUUAUAUACAAAAAACUUCAGAUACCCUAUCUAGAUUUAUCGAAUAUUUAUUUUAAUACCCUUUAGUUUUAACUUUAUCACUAGUUUUUUUUUCCUCUGUUAAUAUUUCGUUAAAUUAUAUACAAAAAAAACUUCAGAUAUCUCAUCUAGUUUUAUUGAAUAUUCACUUUAGUACUCUUUAGUUUUAACUUCGUCACUGAUUUAACGAAAAAAAUUAGUGAAAUUGAUAAUGAAAAGGGAAAAAUGAAACCACAUAGUACUAACUUGAUACAUUUUAAACCACAGAGUACUAAAGAAAGAAAGUACGAAACCAUAGGGGCUAACUUGAUACACUUUAAAUCAUAGGAUACUAAACUGAGAAAGUGUGAAACCAAGGGGGGGUAUUUGAAGUUUACCCCAAAAAUAAUAAUAUUACACGUAAAGGUAAACAUGGCCCAAUAUGAUCAUAUUUUUGAUAAAAUAUAUUUAUAUUCAUAUUUUGAAUUUGAAUGCGGAUGUCACGCCCCGGAUUACUCGUUUCCCCGGGCUCGCUAACAGACCCGCCGUUUAUAUAGGUAUUUCCUUUGUAUACGAAGCGAAAGUAAAAGUACCUGUAAUCAAACAAUACUACAACCAGUAGUAUAGAGCUGCUAGAAGAACCAGUAAAUAAACAUAAAUCGAGUUCCAUACACAUACAUCAAAUCCAAGAUACAAAACUACUCGCAUUGGCGAGUUAAAAGUCUUUAUGUACAUGAACUCUAACAAAAAACAACAACCUGCUGAAGGCACCUGUAGCUCGGCUCGUCUGAUAGGGCUCUAACUCGCGACGCCCUUGCCUCGAUCCUGAUCAGCAAUAGCAGCAGCCGAAGNACUUGCUGUAGGGGCACCUAUAGCUCAACUCGUCUAGUAGGGCUCUAACUCGCGACGCCCUUACCUCGAUCCUGAUCAGCAAUAGCAGCAGCCGAAGAUGAUGGCUCUACAAAAAAAUGGGGUAACAAUAGGGCGUGAGAACUACUGUAAAAACAAGUAGUCCUCAGUGGGUACCACCCUCAACUCAUCGGUGCACCCACUAAGUUUACAGGAUAAGCAAUAAAUAGUAAGAAAAGCUGGAACAAAUCUACAGCUAUAUGUCACUAUACUAUCAUGCUCUAAAUCUAACCAACUAUAGAACAGUGUCAACUCAGACCCAAUCUUGUAUAGGGACUGUAAUCAUACCCGUCCCUAGGACUGUGAACACACCCGUCCUGCCAGAUUGCAACUAACCAGAUACCUCCACGCUAACCAGCCCAUGGAGAGCAAGUCCAACCUGUACAAACGACACCAACGCAAAAGCACUAAGCCCAACUCCGGAGUGGCACUCGUGGGCGCUACCCAACCGAAUAUACAAGCGUAUCUCUGUCGAGCUCAAUCAGGCUCUAACAAGUCAAAGGCAAGUAGCUAGGGUCAAAACAGGUCUAGAAACCGAACCCACGUGCCCUCGGCACAAUAUGAUAUCAAAAACAGAAAUCUGGGUCCACCGUCCACCCCGACGGCACCCGACAACCCGAAAUAGCCUAGACUCUACUAUAAAAAUAAGCUCGGCGUCCCAGCAUGAGCGUAAAUGUAUUUGAAACUACCCCGAGUAUCCACCGCGCUGAAACAGCAGUGAUACAACCAGACCACGGCUCCUAGAGCUAAAUCAGGUAGUAGAAACAUAUGAUGAGUCAAACGCUGGUUUUCUCCUAAGUCAAAUUUCAAGUCCAACAUGUAUGUUGUAAGUAUUCAUUUCAGCAUGCUUCUAUAUUCAUAUUGCAGUCAAAAAUAAUACACGUCGACUAAACAUGCACUUAGGAGCUAAACCGAUGAUACACCUACCUCAAGAGCUAAUCCCUGGCAGCAAAGAACUCCCUCUCAGCUGCGGAAAACCUGCUGGAUCAACCGAAACACCCUCAAGUCAGCAACAAAGCUACAUCAAGGUUCAAGCACCAAAAAUACCAAAAUCCCUCAUUUCACCCAAAAUUUCAGCACUUAAACCUAAAUAUCUCAACUCCAAUGUCAAAACUCACCUAAUAAUCUCCAACUCAGAUGAGACAAGUUCCAAAUCCAGUACUGGUUGAUAGGGAAUGUGUCUCAACUCCACAAAACCCCUGUUUCAAAAGUUCACCCCAAGAAAAGCUCAAAAACUUGCAAUUCUGUCCAAAGCAACAACAGUAGAGGAAAACAUGGGUUCGACUGAGCUAACUUCAAUCAAAAUCUGCAAUUUAGGGCUUCGUGGAUUCCUCUGGAAGUCUAGAAUCCAGCAAACCAAGUUUCACCGCGAUCCGACCUUCCUACGUCGCGUACAAACCAAAACAUUGGAGGUCGUCGCUGAAGAACUACAGAAUCAGCACUCCACUACCUUCCGUUUGAAAGAUUGGAUGCAAUUUGAGGAAAUCUGAGGGUUAGAAAUGCAAUAUGAGGCUUCUCUGUGAAGAACAGGUGAAAAGAGCUUACUAGGGUCGCACACCAUCUAUUUAUAGGAUGUUAGAACGGUCCCAUAAGCCUCAGGAACAUCAGCUGUAAACCUGCAACUCAGCAGAAACGGGCACUUCCGGGCGCCCGGACCCACGUUAUGGGCGCCCAAAUCCUCCAGGCUACACAAGGCUUCCUCCUCGGACUCUCCGCUCGCGGUGUGCUGCGCCCGUAAACGGCUCCGGCGGACCUCACCUACCACCCGCCACGUGUCAACACAAACGAUAUUCAUGAUGUAGAAUUUCCGGACCCACUUCUCGGCACCCGGAACAUAGGAUCCGAAUUGGCUUCCAGUUCCAGUUAAAUUCAGCACUCAGUUCUGGGCGACCUAAACCGUGUUCUGGGUGCCUGAAUCUGGCAAAACUCCAGUUUUGCUUAUUUGAGUGCGCCGAGUCCAUUUCUGCAUCCAUUUCGUGCAGAAACGACUCCGAUUCAGUCCGACACUCUCCAGAAGUGUCGACCAGUCAUUAAUACUGAAGCCAAUCCUAUCCAAAGCUCAGAAACACUAUAGCAGAUACAUAUUAUAUGCUAAAUUUCGUCCGUUAAUAACGGAUUUGGAUUUAGAUUUGCAUUUCGAUAUUAUUCAGAUAAUAAUAUAUACUAAUAUAUGCAUGUAUAAUUAUAAACUAAAAUUAGAAGGAAUUAAAUGUUUGUACUCGUGUUUGAACUUUGUAAGUAUUUUUAUUCAAUAAAAUUUUAAUAUUUUAACAAAUAUAAAUAUAAUUUUAAUAUGAAAUUUAUAGUAAAAUAAAUGAAGAACAUGACAGAAAAAUAAUUUAUCUCCUUACAAUAUAUAUUAACAUCCUUUUUAUUUGUAAGGGGUGAAUAAUUGUCGAAUACUGUCGGAUUGUUUAAAAAAACUAUAUUCGUAUUCAUACAUUUUUAUUUUUUUUCAAAUGUAAAUUCUGAUACGAAUAUAUAUUGAAUGCUAAAUAUUGAUAUCCAUAUUUGCAUUCUAUCGAAUGUAGUGUUGGAUUCAACCAGAGUUUAUCCUAGCCACAUGUACCCCUAGUAACAGGAUAGUAAUAUGAAUACAUAUUUCUAUGUUUAUUUUCCACUAAAUCAAUCUUUUAGUUAAUACGGUACCACACUAUUAGAGCUAACAUUGAAUCUAUUCGUUCUAUAAGGUCGUGGAUUCGAUCUAUGUGGCUUUAGUCCCCACCUUCAACAUCUAAUAGAUAACAUAGUAACACUAUAUUUAAUAGAUUGAAUCUCCAUCUGUCACUUUAUUUAUUAAUUUUAUAUGCCUUUCAUAUUCAUCAUUUCAAAUUAUAGGUUCGAUCCCUAACUUCAAUAUUUAAUAGUUAUUUUUUUAUUAUAUUUAAUGAGUUAAUAUAUAUUUAUUGGCCUAUUUCUUUCUUUUAUGUGUAUUAUGCACAUAAGCAGAGGUGUUAACAUAUAUUUUUGGAUCAAUUUUCUACUAAAUCGAUCUUUUAGAUAACUAGCAAUGCCGGUUUCGUAAAGGCAACAAGAAUCCUUCAUAAAACUAAGCAUACCUUACCCAGCCAAUGCAAUUUAGGAGCUAUUUAUCGGAUCGUUGGUACUAAUCAUUAAUCCCAAAAGCUCGAGCGGUUAGAAAUACGCAACCAAUUCACUUAAAGCACCAAUUCACUUAAAGCGUGUACAGAUACAACGCCCACGGGUCUCGAUUGUGACUCGAUCCAACCAACUUCACACUACUUCGAACAUGACUCGGUCCAAUCCAGCCUCACGCCAUUUCGAACAUGACUCGUCUCAUAUGGCCUUCUGCCACAAGGCAGGAUGCUGGCUCAUUUAAGCCAACACUAUUUUGUUGCGCACUAUUGCAAUUAUGCUACAAUUGUAACUGCGUAUACAUAUAAUCUGUUAUUUAUUUUGAUGUAUUUACAUUCAACUGUUGAAUUAGAACUACAUGAGGAGGCUCAACUAUAUAGUUGGGCUUAUGACCAAAUUGGUCGUAGCUCCAACUGCAGCAAUUGGAGAGAGUAGUUUUAAACAAAAAAAGAAAAAAAAAAAAAGCUUACCGCACUAUAAUUUGUUAAACUAAUUUUUUUUUUUUCCUACAUAGGAGAUAAUCCCACCACCCAUAUAUAAAGUGAUAAUUUUUUUAUGAAUACAUUUCUCAACUUUAUAUAAUCAAAUCAAUUAUUUAUAAUUACAGAAUUUUUCAUUACAUUUAUUGAAAUAAGAUACAAUGUAACUACUAUAUUUCUAAUUAUAUAUAUUCUUAACUAUAUCACACUAUAAAUCGAUCGUUCUUAGCACAAGUGGCAAAGGACUUGGUUGUUUGUUGGUAUCCGAGGUCCCAAGUUCCAAUCCUUAAAGUGAUAUACAUUGUAUGAUGUAUAAAAGUGGAAUCAAGCCGGGUACGAAUCGGGCUACCGGAAAUAUUAGCCCGGCCCAAAACAAUUUAUUGGGAUUGUGGAUGGGCUUUAAGUUUAAUAUCAUUAUUGGAAGGAAACAAAUAGCAACACCAAUUGGGCCUUGCCCUAAUCUACAAAUUGCAAUACCCAUUGGGCCUUGCUUAGAAACAUGUUUAUUAUCAAAUACAAUCUAAAUAUUAUGGUCCACUAGUUAAAAACCCGCGCUUCGCUGCGGAUAGCUUUUUUUUUUUUUUUUAACAAUUUACUAUAUUAAUUCUAAUAAUUUUUUUAAUAAUUAUUGCUAAUAAUUUAUAUUUAUAAUAGUUGCUUUUUAUUAAAAAAAAAGAGAGAACAUAAAAGUGUAAAGAGUAAUUUUACCAAAUGCUCAGCAUCGUCCUGACUAUAUGAAAGUCAAUAUUCUUACAAUAAUAAGAAGCAUGAAAGAAAAGGGCAAAUAAUAGGGAAGAGUGAAGAAGGAAGAAAAGAACCAAAAAUAGAAAAAAAAGAAAAAGAAAAAGGAAUUGAAGAAGGCAUGAGAAUAUAAAGAAUUGAAACAAAACGAAUUAAUAUAAACAGAUGUCAAUACUGAAUAGAGAAUUCAAUCAAUAAGAAGAAACUGCGGUUAACUAUGAAACUAAAUGAGAUUCCUAUUUUCUUUUUUUAUCAUCAUUGCCUCCAAUAUAUAAUGUAGAAAUUUAUAGAAAUAAGCCCAUCCUAUAUUUGUAAUUUGUACAAAUUAAAUCUCUAUAGAAAUAAGCCCAUCCUAUAUCAUCAUUGCCUCCUGAUAGAGUGUCCACAGGACCACCGCCCUCUGCAUCCAAAUCAUCUAGGUCUCUGAAAAAAAUUUCGAAAAUCACCUUAAAAAAAACUACACAUCAACAUCUACAUCUAUGUAACUAAGCCUCAAUCGCGAUACAAUCCUAUCAAUUUCAUCCUAAAAUUUGCUUCUUUCGCUCAACAAAUCCUUCAACAAUGCACACAAAUUAGACAAAAACAGAUAAAACAAUUUUUUUUAAAAAAAUGAAAAGAAACAGAGAUCGUACUCUCCACGGGGACGACGUCCUUGGGGCCAUCAUGCGCCUUCUCCUCCUUCGCCUCCUCCACCUCUGACUCCUUCGAUGGCUCCUCUCCCAUUUCCGAUCCCUUAAUCUCCUACUCCUCCCCCCAAAUCCAUCGACGAAGCACUAAUUUCGAUGGAGAGCUCCAAAAUUUUCCACUAUUUAUGAGUGGCAGUCGCGGGAUCUUGCGGAUUGUAAGGAGCAGGAUCUCCAGCGAUAUUUGUCGCCGAUUUUGCGGAAUUUGAAGGCACGAACAUCAGCAUUGCCCGAUUUUGUGGGAUUUGAUGGCACGGAGAGGGCAGAGGUCCGAAACCACGGAGAGAGAGAGAGAGAGAGAGAGAGAGAGAGGGGAUCUACAGAGGAUUGGCCCGUACGGUGCUUAUGCGAGGCGGAGGUGGAGGCGGUGCGUAGGCGGCGGAGACGGCGCGUAGGCGGCGGAGGCGUACGGGAGAGAAGGAGAGGGAGAGAGAGAGGAGAGGAGAAGAGGAGAGAGAGAGAGGAGGGGAAUGGUAGAGGUCUACAGGAUAAAAAAAAAAUAGUGCUCGGCAGGACCCACGAUCCGAAAAUGCGGAGAGGGGUUGACGCUUCGCCCUUUAAUGUAAUUAUAUUGAUAUUGAUAUUGAUUGAUGUUAGGUACAUCGUACGCGUAUUCUUAUAUGAUUUCGACCCAACUCACCGUCAAAGUCAAGUGUAUCUAAUUUUGUUGUAAAUGGGCACUAAGAUUGCUCAAAUUUUGAGAAUCUUCUGCAUACGUGACUCUUUGCCAGUUUAUUUCACCAAAAGUGAGGUUUAGAUUUAAAUAUACUUUUGAGUGAACUAGAGUUCAAGUAAAACUUUUGUAUAGCUGUAAAACUAAAGUUUUUCAAAUAUUCGCUCUUUGUUUUGACAAAAAAUGAAUGACAUGAAAGCGAGAGAUGUGGAAGAUAGAUUACUUUUUGUUUAUUAUUUUAUUAGUUAUAUUUUUUUUUUCAAAAUUGGCUUACUUUGGUCCAAUUCGCGCUAAAUUUAAUGACAAUAUUUUGAGAAGUAUGAGUUUUGAUGAACGUUUAUGGCCGAAAAUCACUUUUAUCCUAUUUUGCUUUAUGAACAAAACAGGUAAAAAUUGUGUGGAUCGUAAGCACUAAUCAACUAUCCUAAAAACACGUGUUGAUAGGAAGGACGCAUCUAUCGCAUUUAUUAAGAGCUCAGCAACAGUGUUCUCAGGCAUCGACCGAACUCAACUUACCUGGACGUUAGGAGCGCAAUUUCACUCAACUUAUUAGGCUCAUCUAAUUUCAAUAUAUUAUUUAAGCUAAAUUACAGAAAACCUUUCUGUAAAUAUUUUUUCUUUUACUUUAUCUUCCUGACUUUCAAAAUCUACAUUUUGUCUUUUUAAAAUUUCAGAAAUAGUUUUAGGAAGGUGCGAUGUUAAUGGAAAGGACAAAUUGACUAAAUUGUCUUUACUUCUUCCAUAAGAAAAAAAAAAAAAUUCUUUAAUAUAUUGCUGUCAUUUUGAAAAGUAUUUUCGGUAUAAAUUAUAAAAAAUGAACGGAAUAAUGAUAAAACCCUAACCAAGGAGGGCUAAAUGCAACAACUUAAAAUAUUGAGAAGAUAAAAUAUAAAUUUUAAAACUUAGAAAGACAUGGUGAAAAAUUGAGUAUCUAUAAAUGAGUUUUCUCUAACUUUUACUAUAAUUAUAAAAAAAAGUCCUCUAAAAAAAUUAUUUACAAAACUAGAUCUAUACGGUAAAUAAAUUACCGUUUUUUAAGUACGGUAAAUCAUUCAUCGCUUUCUUCAAAAGAUUAAAAUUAUUUUUAGUGUUUAAUACUAUAUAUUUUUUGAAGUUUGGAGGUAGAAAAUAUAUAAAUUAGGAUAAAAGGGGCGUGAAUUAAUUCAUCGCUUUUAUCAACUUAUUUUUAUAAAUAAAAAUUUUGGAUACCUAUUUUUAUAUAUAAAAUUUUUUUUAGGCUUAGUAGUCCAAAAACUCGCCCAAGAACGCCAGACUUAUUGUUACUUUUUCUUCUCACUCUCUUUCUCUCUUCUGCCCGUCUAAAAGCAGUGAAUUGAUUCACCACUUUUAUGAAUCUAUUUUUAUAAAUAAAAAUUUAAAAUACCUAUUUUUUUAUUUGUACUAAGUUUGAUAUUGAGUUCCAUCUGACGCUAGUAGAUAAAGUAGAGUUCCGGUAAAAGCAUAUAGUAAUAUAUUUCUUCGUUCCCCGGUGGAACUGCAAAAAAUAUAUUGUAACCGACUCAUCGCGAUAUGCGGAAUGCAAUAUUACGUACAAAAAUAAAUAGAAUAUUUUUCCAACAUACUUUCUCAUCGUACAUAAUGCAAUCCCUCCGUAAUCCAAAACAAAACCUCCUUACAAAGUUUUUAGGGAAAACUUUAAAUACCACUCCAGUGGUCUCACACUUUCUCACUUUAAUACCUUGUGGUUUAAAAUAUAUCAAUUUAGUGUCUUAUGGUUUUAUUUUUAUUUUUUUAUUAUCGGUUCUACUCAUUUUUUCAUUAAAUUAGUGAUAAUGUUGAGACUAAAGGGUACUAAAGUGAAUAUUCGAUAAACCUAGGUGGGUAUUCUGAAGUUUUUUUUGUAUACAUUUAACGAAAUAUUAACGAAAAAACUGAUGAAAAGAUAAAAAUGAAACCAUAGGAUACUGACUUGAUACACUUUAAAUCACAUGGUACUAAAGUUAAAAAGUGCGAAACCACAGAAAUAGUAUUUGAAGUUUACCUAAGUUUUUAAGACUCAGGCUUAGUUUGGUACUGAGGUCAAUUUAACGCUAUUAGAUAGAAUGAAAUUGAGAAAAAAUAUAUAGGAAUAUGUUUCUGCGUUCUCCGAUGGAAUCGCAAAAAAUAUAUUGUAACCGACUCGAAACGCAAUAUUACGUACGAAAAUAAAUAGUUAUUUUCUCAUCGUCGAUUACAUACAGAAAUAAAUAGAGUACUUUUCCAUCGUCCUUUCUCACCGCGGGUAACGCAAUCUUUCCGUAAUUUCACACAAAGAAUCAGUAGUCCAAAAGCUCCCCCAGGAACAGUAACGCCAGACUUUAGUGUUACUUUUUCCUCUUCCGCUCUCUCUCUCUUCUGCCCGUCUUCUCCCUCACACCCUCCCUUUCGCCGUCAGGAGUGGGCGGGCAGUCAGCACAAAAUAGGAAAAAAAUGUUCUCGUUGUGGCAGCGGGUGAACGCCCUGGCGACCUUCUCCAUCCUCCUGCUGGCGGCUCUCUCCUGCGCCGCCUCCUUCCUCGACGCCUUCAACUCCCCCUCCGUCCGCGCCCACGCCGAAGUAAACCCCCUUCAAUCUUGACACCCAAAAAUCCCCCUCUAGAGAAUAUGUUCCUGCGUUCUCUGAUGAGAUCGUAGAAAUUUCAUCACGUAUUAUCGAAGAUCAUCGAUCUCAUUGAACACAGUAGUACAUAAUGCAUAGCGGAGAUCAGACGAAUCGUGUCAUUUGUGAGUCGUAUCCAUAAAAGAUUGAUGUGAUAGGAGUUGGUACCCCUGAAUAUUUAUUAUUAUUUUAUUUAUAGAAAUUAACAAGCUGGAAAGAAUCUGAUUAGCCCUAGUUUUUUUUUUUUUUUUUUUUUUUUUUUUUUUUUUUUUUUUUUUUUUUUUUUUUUUUUUUUUUUGAAUUCGACAUCAAUUUUUCAGUUUUCUAGUUUGUUUUCCUGCUUAAUUCCCUCUUUCAAGUAGGUGCUGAAAAAAAAAAUUUUCAUGAAAAUUUUUUCUCUUCUGGUUUUCGGUUUGGUUGAAAAUUUCAUGAAAAUUUCAUGAAAUUUUUUUUUAUUUCCUUAGUUUUUAGGAAAACUAAAAUACUAGUUUUUCGUGAAAUCUGAAAAAAAAAAAAAAAAAAAGACUUUUCAAAAUGUUAGAUUUUCUUGCAAACAAACGGAUGAAAAACUGGAUUCUUGAAAAACUUUUUUACAAACUUUUUUGAGGAACCAAACAGCCCCAUACUGAGACAUUCUCUUAAUCAUGCAAUGAAUGAUAGCAUCGUCUUUUGCCCGGAUCCUUGAUGGUCUAAGUACCAUCGGCGUCGGUGUCAGCGUCGGCUGUAUUUUUUGACAAAGAGCGGUUCUUACUGAACUGCCUCUGCGAAAGAUGCGAGUAGAAAUUAAGAACUAUUAUCUUACUUGUGAUGCUUACUUUAGGUCGCCUUUUACUUUUAUUUAUUACUACUUUGAUUAUUAUUAUUAUUUUGUGAAUCAAGAAACCUGUCCCGCUAGAAUGAUAUUGAUAGUAAAAAUUGUAGUGCCUUUAUGUGAUUACCAAGCAAAGAGAUCGCAAAUAUUAGCAUUUUUUGUAUUUCUUUCCUUUCAAGGACAAAACUUUGGAAGAAUAUAAGGUCAAACUCAUAUGUAUGUUUUUAUUUUUAUUUUAAUUUUGCAUUUUUCAUACAUGCGACGUUUAAACUCAUCCAAAAGGUAAGUCUAUUUGCGGAGCAAAAAAAUUGGGGACCUUGUAGUUAAACUCACAAUUUUGGUGUUUUUGGGUUUAUUCUCUUCAUGUUGCAACAUUAGUUUAACUAUGAUGAAGUAGCAAUUUGCGCUGUUUUUCAAUAACAUCUUAUAAUCUCUCCUUCAGGUCAUAAAGGUAAAUCGGUUUAGGAAGCAGCUCACUGGGAAUGAUGAGGUAUUGCAAUUUAUAUUUUAUUGUUUGCUUCUCCUUUUACUAUAAGAAGAGACAUAAUUUUAUUUGGAUAUAUAUAUNGGAAACACAGCAAAACACCUUCUCCCCACGUGCCAAAGACUUUCCUUGAGUCCUCCAAUCCGCGAGCAACGAGCGCGGUGCGAAAACGGCGCGAAUCGACGGUUUUUCUCUAGAGAGAGAAAAACCCUAGAGAGAGAGAGAGAGAAAUGGUGGAGAACCCUCCUCUGGUCUCAAAACCCUUCCACAGAGCUCCUAGAGUCGUGCUGGACUGAAAUAGAUAGGAUCAAAGUGUGAAAUUACCAAAAUAGCCCUGCUGCCACGUUUCUGCAUUGUGUACUGGUACACCAUAAUGGCUGUACCGGUACACCAAGCAGAAAAGGCUGAUUUUCGCCUGUUCAAUGCACUUUCUCACUUUUAGCCAUCCAAUCACUCUCAAACUUGUCCAAAAACUUGUCUAAGUCCUUUAGAACAUGUAGGAUAGUUCCACAACUCAUUCCACACACUCGGACUCCGCAAUUUGCUAGAGUCAGUGUAUUACACUCUCUCUCUCUCUCUCUCUCUCUCUCUAUAUAUAUAUAUAUAUAUUAUUGUGUUUAUGUUCAUCUUAUUCUUUGCCAUCCGCUUUUGUGUGACAAUUUAACCGUCUUUCAUGAAUAGUAUUGGUUUGUGCAACAUUGUUGAUUUCUUGUGCUUGGUCAUAUCAUUUUUCACAAAGAACUGGUUGCAACACUCUUCUUAUUAUUUUUUGCUCUACUGAUAUUAUCUACUUGAUUAUGUCCAUCUUGUUAUGCAUCAUGCCGUCGUUGUGAAAUGUAUCUGAAGAGAAUACAUUUCAUUCAUUGUUGGCUUGUUUUCCAGCUAAUGUUGGAAUUGUACUCAUCCCACUAGAAACUAGUAUCUUUUGGUUAGUUUUUUCUCAGAUUUGUCGGUGUGCAAAACAAAGUGAGUUAGAUCCAAAUGGUAAACUCAUAGAAGUAAUAUAUAUGAAACACAAUUACAUGCUCACAGAAAAUGGAUGGAGAUUCAAGGUUGAUCACAAUAGAAGAGUAUUUGUCGCUUAAUUAUCAGCAGCCCUUUUUAGUUUUUAGAAGUUUCAUACUGGAAUUUGUGAAACUGUUGAAUGGAUAAGUUUGGCUGAAAGAACAUGUUCUAUCUUCCAAAUUCAUUAAAUUGGUGUGUUUUUAAUGUUUUUCACUAAAUCUUAUUUAUUGUUAAAAAUGCCCGAGCUAAAACUCAAUCCACAAUAGAAUCUUCAAACCUUGCUUGUCAAUGGACAUUGUAAGUUGUUGUUUGCGUUGAUACAUUUUGAAGUUUGAAGCAUUACUAAGAUUGAGAGUUCACGAAGCAAGCUUCUGAACGCUCGCUUAAAAUUCUAUUCUAAACAUGAUCCAAAAUGUGCAAUAUCCUCCAAAAUUUUGCCAUUUACAAAGAAUUGUCGCAAUUAUAAAAAGAUCAGCUGAUUUCUUUCUUUCUUUUUGUCUCUCCUUCUUCUUCUUUCACAGUAUCAGUUUUUCUUUAGCAUUAUAUUGCCUAGUAUGCAUAAUAUUUUGGGGUUGCAUGACAGGUGAGCUUGACCUUGAACAUAUCUAUGGACUUGCAAUCAUUGUUUACGUGGAACACAAAGCAGGUAAUCUUAAUUUUCUGUAUCUGAUCUCCUUUCUUUUCUUCUUUUCUAUAUGACUGAACCUGUAAUACUUCGACACCGAGAGGAUAUCAAUGCUGUAAACUUCAUUUGUGCUUGGUCUUUUAACUGUGGUGGCUUGAUUCAUGCUUGAGAUGGGGUGUGCAGGAAAAGUUUCUUAUGAAACAUGGUAUCUGAACAUAUCCAACUCGAUCUAUAACUUUAGUUGUAACCUGUGUUGAUUCUCUGAACCAUAUCCAUUGAUCUAUAAGGGAGUCUAUAUAUUCUAAUCCUCUCAGAACAUCAAUUAUUGUAUUACUAUAUGACACGCCGCUUCCUAGGGGGGUCACCCAUCUUAGAAUUACUCUAGCUUUAGCGUGCUUAACCCUUUUAACCUUUUGGACUUAGUCACUGCCAAAAAUACUAUAGUCAGAUCAAAAGAUUUAAUCCUAUUAUACCUUAUAUAUAGGACUAUUCCAAAUCUUAGUGUAACAUUCAGCCCCCCUUUAAGUCUUGGCGUCUUCGCCAUGCUCAAACAUACUCACAAUCACCAUGCGAUGUGAGACUCGUCUUGCUAGCAUUAGCCAACCUUGUAGCAAGUCGUGCUCCACCCACAACGAUUGUCAGUUGGGGAUCCGCGCUUUGCCACUAUAUGACUCUAGUUCAGCCAACAUUCAUCUCACACUUCCGGCUAGUGAUUGGCUUUGAUACCAACUAUUACUACCUACUUCUCAGGAGGGGUCACCCAUCAUAGAACUAUUCUAGUCUUAGCAUGCUUAGCUCUCUUAAAUUCUUAGGCUUGGCCACUGCUCAAAAUGCUAUAGUCGAGUUAAAAUGUUUAGUCCUAUUAUACCUUAUAUAUAGGACUAUUCCAAAUCAUAGAGGUGUCGCAUUCUGGAUUUUAUAAGCAAAAAAGAAUAAGAGAAUACAUUGCUUGCAAAACAUUCUUGUAUAUAUGCAUGUAAAUGUAAAUCGAUGAUAUUUAAAGCGCUGCUUAAGCUCUCUGAUUGAGUAAGCUUAAAGGUAAAUUAAUCUUCGUAUCUUUAGCAUAUCAAGUAAGAUUUUUGUUGGAUAUGUUGAUAUGAUGGGUGGGUAGUAGUUAAUCCCUCCCUUAGUUUAUGUUUAUGUGGGUCUGCAUGUCUUCUUUAGUUAUAAAGAAUUGUAGUUAAGUUGCAUAUUAUUCACAGUAUAAUCUAUUGUAUAUUUUAUUUCGAUUGCAGGUAUUCGUCUUUUUGACUGCUGAGUAUGAAACUUCAAAGAAUUCUGUGAAUCAGGUAUCAUUCCAACUUACUUCUGGAGUCCAUGUCAAAGUGGGUUUUAUUUUUAUUUUUAUUUUAAUCAUGAUCCGGGUCAAAAUCGUGUUGGUCAACCGCUAGGGGUAUUGAAUAUUUUGGACAACAUAUAGUGUCUGGAUCCAGAUGCAAUUUAAAUCAGGUGUUUGGAUCCGAACCUGGUUGGACACUGUUUUAUACCAAAAUUAAAAAAAUAUAUAAAGUAUUUAUUAAGUCAAAAUUUAAAUUCAAAAUUUAUGUAUUGAAAAUAAAAGUACCAGAAUCAGACAUUUCGUAUAUCCUUUUAAAAUAAACUAUUUUAAAUUAUAAAAGUAGCAUAAUAUAACUUAUCUAGUUAUCUUUACUUUUUGAGCUAUCAGUUCGGAACUGACUCAGAUUUUAAUAUAAAAUAAUUAAAUUGUUUGUUUGGAUCCAGUUUUGGGACUGGAAUUCGUUGUUUGGAUCCAGUUAUUUUUCGGGUCAGACUAGGUCGGUCUACGAAUGGUAGUUAAUCAUGUGCUAGUGGUAGUAAGAGAAACUGAAGGAAAAUAAUGAAACUGUCGAAUUGCUGAUGCAGUAGAAGAGUUAACGUUUUGAAACUUACUUUUUGAUAUUUUUCUUAUCAGAUUUCUCUAUGGGAUCAUAUAGUCCCUGAUAAGGACAACGCGAAUUUUCGAGUAAGGGUUCCUACCAAGUAUCCUCUGAUUGAUCAGGCAAGUUCUCGCUCGUAGAAAACUCUGAUUUUUUUAUUAUUUAUUCAUUUCUGAAAAUAUGGUUAUAAUUCAGCUAUUAUUUCUUGCUUCUUUUACACUUCCUUGAUUCACCCUAAAAGAACAGCGGCUUAUAUGAACUGUAGUGCAUUCUGAAAUGUUUACCUGAACUCUGAAUUUUGAUUUUAUUGACUAAUCUUUUACAGUGAACUUGAUCUAAGUAUGAUAUUAUCAAAAUUUGCUGGUAUUUUUAGCUCUUUUGACAGAAUAUUUUACAAUCUAAUUAAACAGUUCAGUUUUUUGACUGAAUACUUUUUAAUUAUGUUACCAUAAAACCAUUAAAUCUACCUAAAUUUGGCAAAACCAUUUUAGGAAAUCUCUGUAAAUGAAAGGACUAUUAAGGUUAGAGCUCAGAUUCCCAUCUCAAAAUGCAUUAUGAUCUAUGUAUCACGGACGCAGCUAUAGGCCUCGCAUGUCUAUGUCGGACAUUCGCGUGUCUACGUUUGAUGCUCAUGGACGCGCGGCUGUGGCACAUCCUUUUAAAAAUUAUAUAUAUAUAUUAUUUUAUUUUAUUAUGCGUAUAUAAUGUUAGAUGAUAAAUAUUUUGGCUUUUUGAUGAAUGCAUACAAUUUUUUAUUGUACAAUAUAAAUUAGGGAUAAUAUCUAAUGUACCCUCCAAAAGUUCAAAAAUAUCUAAUAUAUCCUUGGUUGACCAAAAUAUUCUUAUUGAUUUCCAAAAAUUCCUUCAGAUAUACCCAAACCCCGGAGGUUUAGAAGGAUAUUUUCAUAAUUUCAUGGUAAAUUUGAAAUUUUGACUAGUAGUCAGGAGUAAAUAAGCAAAAGCCCAAUAAUUAUGUAUGGUGGUUGUUUUUAUGAGAAAUAUAACAAUAUUUUUACAAAAUUAAUAUUUGUAUACAAUAAUUAUAUACUAUUAUGUUAAUACUAUUGUAUUUUAUUAGUCGUAUCCAUGCUGUGUCCACAUCCUAAUAUUUUGAAGCUGCCGAGACGUCAUAUCUGAAUCAUGUCGUGCCCUUUGUUCCCUGUUCGUGUCUGUGACGCCUAAGUUACAAUAUAGGUGUAAAUAGUUUUAUUAUAAUAAUUAUUAUUUUUUGCGUGUACAGGGAAACAACCUUCGUGGUAAGAAAAUCGACCUCGUUCUCCACUGGCAUGUUAUGCCGAAGACUGGUCGAAUGAUUCGCGAUAAGAUGGCGCUUUCCGAGUUCUAUCUCCCUGAUGCUUAUACAUGACCUUAACAUAUCCUCUCUUCUUGAUCAGAAUAAGUAGUUCAACAGUGAAUGAUAGAAAUGGCUACUUAGUUUUCUUUUUUUAGUUUUUUUUUUUUUCUUCCUUCCUAUAUGAAUUAUUGGUGAUCCAUGAUAAAACCGUCGAUCUCGCAUCUCAUGUUUCAAUUUACCAUUCCUUUUACACCAUUUUAGCAGGUGAGGGCAUUUGGUUUAAUGCAACAUUUGCUGAAGCUUUUUUUUUUUUUUUUUUUUUUUAAUUCUGGGAACUGUUUAUACCUAUUCUUGUUCUAUGAAAGCUCUUCUGGAUUGAAUUGUGGACCUGCAUAUUUUGUUAGCAAAGAUGAUGUGAUGAUAAUGCUUUCUCUUUGCAAUUAACUGUGAGUUUAAACUGAGCAACAAGGAUUUAAGUGUCGCGGCACAGGGUCUUGUGGACAAUUUUACUAGCACGGUGCGGUAAGGUGUGUGUGCGUGCCAUGCAGACAAAAUUCUUUGUGUACCAACACACUUCUGUAUGAAAUAUUUAUUUUCUUUAGUAUCAGUAUAUUCUAACUGCUUUUAACAUACUCUUUAUUAAAUCUUUCGUGCGCUGCUAAAGGAGAAUAUAUCUUCUAUAUUUACUUGGUUGAUGAAAAUGCCCUUAUUGAUUUUUAAAAUUACCUUCAAGUAUUUCCAAAUUUUUAGGGCUUACUAAUUGGAUUUGGAGUUUAGAAGUGUAUUUUGAUAAUUUUAGUAUAAAUUGAAAAUUUUGAGUAUUAGUUAGCGUUAAAUAAGCAAAAGGCCCAUCACCUAUUUUAUGGUACAAUGUGUACUACUCCCUAUUUUAUGGUACAAUGUGUACUACUCGUAUUGAUUGGACACUUGUAUUGAUGGACACUUAAAUUCUUAAUAAGCAAUCUCGUUUGGUGUAUCAGGUGCUGUAGAUAGAUUGGAGUUUAGUGACUUGUGUAAAAUUUUUUUUUUCCUUCCACGUGCGAAGCUUUUUAAGUCCUUAAUUAUUAUUAAUUAUUAGGCAAACUCUAAUAUUUCUCCAAUAAUGAUUUAUAUAUAUAUAAGAGUAGAGCUAUUAUACCAUCAAAAGUAAAGAGGAUCUGGUAUUUUUUACUUUUUGGCCUUUAGAUCAAUUUUUUUGAUUAUUUCUAAUUUUUGAAUUAAUAUUAUUAUUCUAGGGAGACUACUCAGCUCUAGGGAGACCGUAAUCAUACCAACCAUAUAAUUCUUAAUCUAAGGGUCAAAAAUUCGGAAGUAUCAAAUCCUCUAUUAUUUUGAUAGUAUAAUAGUUCUACACUAUAUAUAAGAAUUGAGCUCCUAUGCUUUUAAAAGUACCAAGUUAUUGGUGCUUGUAGAUUUUUAGCCAUUGGAUUAAGAGAUAUGCGGUUAGAAUGAUGUGGGUCCCAUAGGGUAGAGUAGGUGGUUUGUUGAAUAGAAUAAUCUAAUGGUUGAAAAUAAUCCGAGAAAUAUAUCUAACGGUAAAAACCUUACGAGCACCAAAUGCUUGGUGCUUUUACAAGCACCAUAGCUGGACUCCUAUAUAUAAUAUAUAAUAAUUAGAGAUAACGGUGAGGAUUUAACAGUGAACUAACAUCAACAGAGAUAUAUUUACAUAGUUUGGCGCUUUAAAGGAAUAUAUAUUCAUUAAAAUAUUAUAUGAUAAUAAAUCUAUAAUUCUAAAACUUUAGCUAAUUUAUUUAUUUUAUAUAUAUAUAUAUAUAUUUUCACUAAAAACAAAUCUUUGUGAUUUGUGAUGACACUUUAUUUGAAAAAUAAAAUCUUCUAUAUGGUGAUCUCAAAACUUGGACAAUCAAACACAGUAAAAUAUUCCCCACGUGAUUGUGUGUACCAUUGUAUGCAAAAGCAUGUUGACUCAUACAACAAACACCUUAAAAAAGAGUUAAAUUGUACUUUGGUCCUCAAACCAUGAGGUUCAUGACAUUUUGAUCCUAAAACUAAAACUUGUUAUAAUUUUUGGGUUUGAAUUGCUAAAUUAUUGCAAUCAAAUACCGCAAUCUUAUUUACUUAAUUAAAUAUUAAUAUGUCGCUAAUAUAAUAUAUAUAAUAUUGAUAUGAUGGUGUUGUGAUUGAUGAUACGACAGUGAUUAAGAUUUCAUAUUACUCCUACUUUAUUUAUACAUCAAUAUUUAGUCAAUUAAAUUAAAUUAUAAGACUUACAAGUAACAAUUUAAAAAAUUUGAAUCAGAAAUUAUAAUAAAUUGAAGUUGAGGACCAAAGCGUCAAACUUGUUAUGAUUCACUAAUCCUAUGGUAUAAUUUAGUCAAGUAAAUUAUGAUGCAUCGUUGAUGCAAAAAUGAUAUAACAUUUCAAUUAUUGGCGCAUCAUCAAUGACAAUACGCGUUUACAUUAGCAACACAUCAAUAUUUAGUCAAUUAAAUUAGAUUAUAUGAUUUGAUUGUUAUAAUUUUUAAAAGGGUUAAUUUCAUAUAGAUCUCUACAAACAGAGUGCAUUACAAAUAUAUUCCUACAAAGUUUAACUUUUAUAUAUUGUCUCUACAAAAGUUUUGAUGUUUUCAAAUAUGUCUCAGCUGUUAGAAUUUACUAGAAAAUUUUAGUUAACCAUAGAUUAAAUACUCAACCCUAGUUAGUUUUUGACAUUUUUACCGAUUUAUAUUAUACUAUUAUAGUUUUUAGAAGGAUAUAUUUGUGAUUGCAAAAUUAAAAAUAUAAAUAGUUUUAUAACGGCAAUAAACCAGAUGGACAUAUUUGAAAAUAUUACGACUUUUAUAGGAAGAACAUAUGAAAGUUAAACUUUGUAAGGAUAUAUUUGUUAUUCGCUAUAUUUGUAGGGAUAUGUAUAAAAUUAAUUUUUUUUAAAAAUACGGGCCAAAAAUUAUAAUAGAUUAAAAUUUGAGAAUCAAACUGUCACAGAAAAAUAGUUUGAGGGCAAACGUACAAUUUACCCCCAAAAAGAAAAACUAAUAAAUACUCUUCCCUUCUCCUUCUUUAAGUCCACCCACCCUUCUCCCUCGAAAGCGAAUGCGCCGAGGACUCCUCCUCCCUACGCUGCGCAAUCAAAUCCCCUUACGAUUCCCCAACACAAAUCCCAGGUAAAAAUUUACUACCGAUGUAAAACCCUAGGAUUCGUCUCCAUCGAACUCUGUUUUUUGAUCUGUUUUUUAUCGAAUUUUAGGCGAAUUUUGCGGAGAUCAUCAAUGGCGCCGCCGCCGAUCUUAUCUCUGGCCCUCCCUUCCGAGACCGGACGCGUCCUCAGCAUCCAAUCCCACACCGUCCAGGUGUUGUUCGAUCUUCUUUUCUUUUUUGUAGUUUACUAAGAAUUCGCUGUGGUGUGUGUGUGUGUUUGAUCUUAUUUUACUUGCAUUGGAUUGAGUUUGAUUUGUUAGUGGAGGGAAUUAGAAUGAGGUUUGUUUAGUUCUGAAUUGGGAUUUACUUGCAUUGAAUUUGAUUUAAAAUUCUAUAAUUUAGGUGUCUAAAUUCAUACAUAGAGAUGAAAAAAUGAAUAGUUAAAAAAAAAUAAGAGAAAAAGUUUUCUCCUUUGGUAAAGGGUAAAAUAUAUGGAUCGUCCCUGGACUAUUCCAAUAUUGCCAGUUGGUUCCUGUACUUUUGUGUUUAACACUCUAGUAUGUAAGCUGUUGCAAGUACUAUUGUUUGCUUCUGGCCCUUCUGGGCUAAAAAGUUUUGUCUUUUAUUGCAAAAUUAUCUUUUUUGACCUCUUUGAAGUAAAUCUACAAUCAUUUUAUUUUAAAAAAAAUAGAAAUUUUUUGUUUGAAGCGUUAUAUAUGAAUGUAGCAACUAAAGUGUUUAAGUUAAAAUUGCGUAAGUUUAAUAAAUGAGCAAUAAUGGCUUUUUUUAACGGCUCUACUCAAAUAGUACUACAAGACUUGGCACAUGUUUGGCAAUUUAGAGCUUCUUGUAGAAGUGUUGUUUGAGUAGAAUUAUAGAACUGUAGAACUAUUCAGAAAAGUACCUAUAGAUUAUUCACUGAGAGCACCCCAAUAGUUUCUUGCCACAUCAGAUAGGGAGUUUUGGAUGGAGCUUCUGCUUUUGGAGCCAAAAAUCUUAUUUCACCUUCUCACCAUAGCAAAAGCUCUGGACAUUUAGUCUCCCAAAUGCUUGACUGCCACUUCUCAGAUUGGAGAAGCUGCUUUAGAAAACAGGCCAAACAAGCACUUGGAACUAAGAGCCUGAAUCACUAGAACAUUCAUGAGAACACAUUAGAAAGUCGUAUGAUCACUUGCCAUAUUUUUGGAAAGCCUUGUAACAUAGUACACAUUCAACUUUCCCUAGCAAACAAAUGCACAUUGCUAAGCGCUUCACAUUAGUUUUCCCUUAAGACAUGUUGUUUACACUCUAUUAACUCUCUUAAUUUAAUCUAGGGAUAUGUCGGCAACAAAUCAGCUGUUUUUCCUCUUCAGCUUCUUGGAUAUGAUGUGGACCCAAUCAACUCCGUGCAGUUCUCCAAUCAUACAGGCAAGCUGCUUUAUAUAACUUCCUUCCAACAUCCUCAGAAAUCAGAGGCCUGAUAAUAUGGUGCGAAUUUGUUCGCUGCUGUAAAUGCUUGUUUCGUGGGAUUUCAUGGUCUAAUUGUCUGUAGGAUACUGCAGGAUAUCCAUCUUUUAGGGGGCAGGUUCUUGACGGUGAGCAGCUAUGGGAUCUUAUUGAAGGCCUUGCAGCAAAUGAUUUAUUAUUCUACACACAUUUAUUGACAGGUUUUUGUUUUGUUUUUUAUAUCCUGUUUUCAUUUCCGUAAAUCUCUACAUUCUUAAGAUAUCAUGCUUUUCUUGUCUUGUCGAUUAUAUUGGAAUUUCUUUCCAUUCGUAAGUACGGACUUCUAAUGUUUGCAUCUCUUUCAGGUUAUAUUGGUUCAGUUUCUUUUUUGAAUACCAUUUUAAAAGUUGUUGAGAGGUUACGCUCGAUCAAUCCCGCCCUAAUCUAUGGUAGAUAUUUGCAAUCUUUUUAUUAUUUUGUUAUUGGGCAAUAACUUUUAUUAAAUAUAUUAUAGUUGUUUCAUCCAAUUCUAAUCAUUUUUUGCUUUGUAUCAUUAAAAUAAGAUAUAAAUCUUUUGAUGAUUUCAUUUUGCUUGCUAUUCCUGAAAUAAAAUAACAGCUUCAUUUUGAUUCUUGAAUAUUUUUUAUCCUGGUUUUGUGCUUUCAUUUGUUUUGGAAGUGGAAUAUCUUUUGUUUAUCAGUUCUUAAGGUGUUUUGUUACAAAUGAUAUCAUUUUCUUUUCAUAUUAUGACUUACUAGUAAUAAUAAUACUUAUAUUUCACCUUCUUGUACAAAGGAAAAUGAAGUGUAUAUUGACAAAAUGGCUGUGAAUAAUCACAUCAUGCUGGUUUGAGAUAUCUAGGAAGUAGAAUAUUGGUAGGCUUGCAAUAAGUGUAAUACUAGACAAGGUAGCGACUGACCCAUGAUGUUAAGGGAACUACUUUACAAGCAAUGCAUCAUUUAUUAAUGUAUUAUGAAUGAGAAAUUCUAUGGAGUUUUUCUAUAUCAUUUGAAACUUGAGUUUACGAUGCAGUCUAAUCCAUAUGAAAUGGUUUAUUUUGAGUCGUGGACUUAGGAUUGAAUNUUUGAGUUUUACAAGCUCUUAGAAACUUUCUAAUCACUUACAACUUGAAAACAUAAUUCUAAGAUCUAUAAUUAAGUAUGAAUCACCAUAAACAAGAUUUAAAGCUUACCUAAGCAUCGUGAUUCAUGUUUUACGUGUUUUGCGUCCUUUCCGAUUCUUCGAAGUCUUGAAUUCUUCGAUCUUCAAUACUCCGCUCCGGACUUCUUCAAGACUCCGACUCAACCCACGAAACUUGCCAACACAUAGGACCUAACAAAGGCGUCCUGCAGACUCCUCCAAAAGUGAGACACAAACCGAGUGUCUCGAUCAGAUACAAUCAAAGUGGGCACUCCGUGAAGUCGCACAAUCUCGUCAAGAUACACUUGUGCGAGCUUCUCCCGAGACCAAGUCGUAUGAAUAGGUAUGAAGUGCGCUGACUUCGUCAACCUAUCCACGAUCACUAAAUAGCAUCAUGCCCGGCCUGAGAGCGAGGCAAUCCAGUCACGAAAUCCAUGGUGAUCUUCUCCCACUUCCACACGGGAAUAGGCAAAUUUUGAAGUUUUCCCGCGGGUAAACGGUGUUGUCCAUAUCAAGAAUCCGAGGGUUACACCCGUUAUCCAAUCCAUCUAAACUCCACCGGAGUACUUAUGUGAAUAUCACUCACCAAAGAGAGGUGAGAUAGCAUCGAAUCAUCGACUCAAACCCCGACGAUGGUCUCGCAACCCAAUAUCAAAUUCUGUCACGAGGUUGCACAACGGGGUGCAACUCUAUUCCAUAGCUAAAUAUGAUGUAAUUUCCACAUGGCUACCAUUCCAACUUGCUUGGCACGAAUGGCUCCAUAAAUAACAUCCACGGCAUCAACCCUUCCGAUAGCAACGGAAACCGACGAAUCAUCCAAAUUUACUUACCAAAGGUGGCUGCUUGAUUCCUCAAUCGGCAUUGCAUCCCAAUGCCUCCACGUCAAUCCCACUUCACCACCCGGGUAGCGCUCUCAAAUCCUUUACCAUGAAUAUGAUCAUGGACCAAAGUUCAGAAGCUUCUCCAAUACACUAAGGUCAUUCCCUUAGUCUCAACUCGAUGCCUCAAAUAACCUUUUUGUAAGCCUAAGUCAAGGGCUUAUCUUCGAUAGGAGAUAUCAUAACAUUAACCGUUCAGUUGCUCAUGAAGAAUCACUCAAAAAUUCUCAUCCUCAAUGCUUUCCGUAGCAUCAGAUGCUCUAGGUGUCCAUAGUCACCGAGCUCAUCUCGAGUGAUAGAGAGGGAUAAAUCCACAAUUCAAUAAUGGCUCUCUAUCAAUGUCAUCCUGAUGUGACCAUCAACCAAAAUGUCAAUCCAAACAACUCUCUCACGCAAUUCCCGUUCCCAAGAUUUCGAUUCCUGGUGCAUAAACCGAACAAGGGAAAAUAGCAACUUGGUAUUUUUCCCUCUCAAGUUUCCAACCACUUGAUCCAACAGUGAGAGUUUCACAUCUCGAUCACGUCAAUCUGCCUCGCAUUCAAUCCUUGCAAAUCUUCAUCGGAAUACUCAUGGUUAUCAGCGACUGGUUCCACAAAUCCAUCCAAAGGGCUUGGAAAUUAUCAUACAGCAAGUCCCUAACACUGGUGGAGUACCACGGGAUUAGGCAACAUCACAAUAGCCCUCGUGAUGUCCCAACCCAGCAUCAAAUCUGCUUGAGGCAUAACCUCAAACUUUCAACGCAAAACGGUAUCACUCAGAUUGCAUUGCAAUCUCACCAAGUACACCGGCAAACUUGAGGCGAACCGAAAAAAAUCAAUGAGCCUCAACCACAAUCCAAAUACUCAAUCGUGAUUCAAUUUAGAUCACGAUGGCAGACAUACAGUCGAUACGACCCAUCCGGUCCCACAACAGGUGGGGGUGCUUCUUCACGAAGCAAAACACUAGGUAUAAGAAUCUCUCCGCCAAUCGAGCUCACAAUUUGUGACUCAGACGGGAAAACAACGACAACUCAGAAGAUAUCCUCCACUAUGAGGAUUCUCGAUCAACAAAUGCUAUCGGCCAACUAGGCCCCAAAUCCACUCCAAAUACCCAAUUUUGGGUAGAGAGACAGUUGUCGCAACUAGCGAAACUAAAUCGUUGAAUCGCACCAUUUCGUGUUCAAAGCCUCAAGGCGAGUCAAGUCAGCUCACAAGACCAAGGGUACUAGGUACCCACAAUAACUCCACAUCAAAUAAGGCCAAUCUAAUCAUUGGCGCACAAACCCUCUCACAGGGUAGGGUGUUCAAAACGACACACCCGAUCAUCCGAUCAUCCUACAUGCGUCGAAAAUGAUCAACGCUAACAAUCCUCGGAUUGGGUCACGACAUACUCGGUGUAUCCUCGAUCUCACGAUCCAACACGUGGCAUUCCACGUUCCAAGGUCAAAGCUCGGACUACCGUCCUGACCAAAAUCUGUCCUACCCGUAGGUACCGGGCCGCUGUCACACACAGCUGACUGCGCCUGCCCGAAGGGCCCAGGCUCCACAGUCCACAAACGGUCCAGGCACGGUCGUCCCUAAGCACCAUCCGACAAGCAGCCGAUCAAGGGAUGCAAACAAUGCAAUCAUCGUGAGAUCUACAAGCAUAGCAAGACAUGCUACCCGCAACCCGCAAAACAACCGCUUAGCUCGAGAGGAGCCACUCAACAUCGCAAACAGCGAACUAACGGAAUGCCAUGCAACUCGGCAAAUAGCCGAUCAAAGUAUGGAUGCAAUGCACCGAAAUCAACCAAUGUACAACUCGAAUGCCACAAAACAAGCUGAUACCUGCAGCCUCAAGCUCGGCCGCUGUCGCCUCCGCGGUCUGGGCCGCAUACAUGCGCCCACUCGGGACCUGUCGGGAUCCCUCGCUCUGUCACUGAACGGAUGACCGCCCAGGCUGGUACUAUGUCGAUGGAGUCCCCCGGCUGGCAGCUGGUAGAGCCGGUGCCGAUGCAGAUGAUGGUGCCGGUGAUGAACCCCUCGGGCAUUCGGUCCAGAUGUGGCCCUCCUGACCACACUGGUAGCACCUGCCCGCCCGUUGUGGACACUGCGGUGGGUAGUGAGGACCACCGCAAAUCACACACUGGGAAGGCCGGCGACGAUCAGAACCUCCACGGUGUAUCGCUGAGCCACGCCCACGCUGCAGGCUCUUAGGGUGCUUCGGCGGCCUCCUAGAGUGCGUCUGGCCCGCACCCUCAGCCGUGGGCCUCUUGGCCUUAUCCUUGUCCAAGGCCUCUCACCGCUCCUGCAGAUCCACCGCGCCGCUCUCCACAAUGAGCGUGCGGUUCACCACCUCCCGGUAGGUUUGGAAGUUAGAGGAUUGCACGAACCGGAAGAUCGACGGUCGCAAUCCACUCUCAAAGAUACGGGCCUUGUCCUCGUCGUCCCGCACGACGAAAAGCACGCAGUGAAAAAGCCGAGAAAACUCCCUCUCAUACUCGGCCACUGUCCGGUCUCUUUGGCACAAGUUGCGUAAGUCCUGUUCCAUCUUCCUCUUGACGCUGUCAGGGAAGUAGUGCGCCAACAGAAGCUCCUUGAACUUGCCAAAUCAAUGCUGGGGUUCUCCUGUAGAUCCAACCACCAGCGAUAGACCUCGCCGUCCAGGUGGUGAGUGGUGAGCCAAACUCGAUCCCUCUCUUCCACGAAGGUGUCGCGGAAGAGCUUCUCCAUAUGCAUCAACCACUUCUCCACGAUCCAGUGGUCGACCUUCUCUCCGUCGAAUAUCCAGAGAUGCACCUUCUGAACUCAUUGAGGCGCUCCAUCAAUCUGUCCCGCUCCUCUCCAAUAGCUGUCACCGGGAAAGCCGCCCCCGCCGUAGGCGCCCAAACUGGCGGUGCCGCAAUCGCCUCCUCCUGUGGUGCUGCCGCAGGCGCCGUCCGAGAUGUGUCAAGUGUAGGGGACGACCCUCGGGGUGCAACCACGUCCACCGGUGCGGGUGGCGUAGGAGCCUGUGUCUCUCUAGCAGUAGCCUGCUGAAGUAGGAGGUCCUCCAAGCGCUUCAUCCGCACCUUCUGUCGGCGCGCUGCCUCCGCCUGCUAAGCCACCAUAUCAGUGAGGGCCGCAAGCUAGCCUCUCAACUCACGGACCUCGCCGGAUCCAGAGGUAGCGGAGGUCUUGACCUCCUCCAAGUUUGCCGCAUUAUCCGCUCCGGCAGAUUGGGAGUGUGUAAUCGGCAUCGUCACUACCAUAUCAUAAAAGCGCAAGUUAGUAAACUCACGCUAUCGAAUCCCCGCUCAAGAAGGUAAAAUCCAAAUCAUGCGAAAGUAAGGAAGUGUCCUACACUACUAACUCCCGAUGUUACGUUGUCGGCCGCCAACGUAACCCUCCUCGAAGUUAGAAGCCAUACACUUCGAUUUAACUGCACUUUCUAAAGUUAUCCAAGAUACCCAAUCAUGAUACUUUCGCUUACAAGCCAAAUAGACCUCGUCUCUCUCACAAGUCUAUUUCCUAUAGUCCAACCGGCCUAAGGUUUGCUAGGUCCCCCAAGACUCAACCCUAGGCUCUGAUACCAAACUAAUCUGUCACGCCCCGGGACCCGGCAUAGGCCCGCCCGGUGCGUGCCCAAACCCGCCAUAUGCCUGCACAUAUAAGGCGUCUACAACAAAAUAGAUAUGGAAGCAAGAAGGAAUAAAGUCACUAGAGAUAUCAGAGCUACUAACAGCUAACAACUAACAACAAGUAGAGAAAUGGGAAAGUAAACUGCCAACCAUAAGGAUAAAGUAAGUACAAGAGUAUCCCAAAAGUACUACAAAAGAGUAGUCACUAUACAAGGUACAACUCUUCUCCUCUCCAAAAAGCAAACAAAGAAGAGGUAGACCACCUAGCGAACGCCCCUCGAUCACAAGCUAGCUCGUGGCGAUACUCUUUCCGCAGUCCCUAGCCUCGCCCGGAGUGGAAUGCUCUGAAAUAUAAACAUGAAACAGAGGGCGUGAGAACUAUAAUUUAUAAUUCCCAGUGGGCAAUUACUGAUCUCAGCACAAUGCACCACUAGGCCCAAAGAAAAGGGGCAAGUAACGAUAAUAUUAAACAAUAAUAAGCUGCUGAAUUGAAAGCAUGUAUGAAAUGCUAUACUACUAUGCCACAUGUAAACAUGAUGUGUAUCAAUGCUAUCAUGAUUGAAUAUGCCAAUACAAGGGGAAUAUGUUCAUCAUAUCUGUCAAGUAUACUAAGAUGCAAAGCAAUUCUAUCAAGUAUACUACAUGUCCCAAAAUCUCAAAGCCACCCUAUAAAUAUGCCAAGUGAUCCAACUACUAUGAUUUAUCUAGUAGUGAUUCAUGUUUAAGAGUUUAUGUCCAAGCUCAAUCUUGUUUUAGGACCUACACGAGUGUAGUCCGACUUGCGCCGCCUAAGUGUCGGAGAUAGCUCCAACAUUUUCACUCUGGAAAUGAGUCUAUCCUUCCCGACCCCGUAGGCUUCUCUAUACCGCACGAGCGAGCAUAAGUCACGUAGGCCAACUCCGGAGUGCCGACUUAUAGGAAGCGACCCUCACAAGCAUGUGCGAAUGAGCACAAAUGGCAAGCAAGCAAGUCAUUGUCUCAAGUAUCCAAUCGACAUGUCUCUAACAUGGUAAUAUCCACUAGUAACCCAACGGUCUAGUUCUAUAUCUCAAUGUGAUGUUUUACCACUCACUAUGCUUAGUGCCUCUUUAUGACACUUAAGGCUUGCUACAAGCUAAGCACAUUUCAUAUUCCAUGCCCCAUUUAUGACAUUAGUACUAGGUUCACAUGUAACCCGAGCUCAAUGCCCCUUUAUGAUAUUAGCCCAAAUAUUCUCAAGUAGUACAAGCCCCCAAGCCUCUUAAGGCCUACUAAACUCCUUUGUGUCUCAACUAGGCAUAGGUUUAAAUGCAUGAAACAAUGCUCAUUUCUAUUGUAAGAAAUAUGGUCCCAAGUCCAACAUAAGAAUGCCAAAAGCUAGUAUAAGCCUCACAUGCAACUCUCUAUUACAUAGAGAUCCGAAAUUUUAUUGUACAUGACAUAGGGAUGUUAAGCAUUUUAAAAUUCCCAAUAAAUACAUUCAGCAUAAAAAUGCAUAAAUUUCUACUUUACAAAGCAUAAAUCACCAAAUAUGAGCAUUUCUCAUAUUGUAGGCUAGGUCAAACCCACCAAAACUCUUGCAACUCUUCGUAAGCUCUGACGAAGAUGCCCACUAGUCUCCUAGCACUCUAAAGAUGUAGGAACGAGAGUCAAACAGACCUUACGAACAAAACAAAGCUCAAUCAUUAACCAUCUCAAGCUAAGGUGGAGAAAAACUCACAAAAUGCGAAGGGUGCUCUCUCGAUCUCCAAAUGGGAGUUAGAGCCCUUCGAAUACAAUCUAAACAAAGGUUCUAAGCCAAUCAAUUGAGUCCCAAAGCCCUCAAAUCGAAAAUUUCCAAAAUAAACCCUAAAUCCUAAAAUCUAGGGUUUCAUCUAGAGUAAAGCUCCAAAACUAGGAUCUAGAGGAAGAAAACUAGCCACUUACCUCUAGGAUGCUCCAAACCAAGCUCAAAAUCCUCAAUGGUUAAAGAUUGAUCUUCUACAAAGCUCCAAGUCCAAGCUCCAAGCCUCCAAGGGUGAGAAGAAAGGGUGUGGGGGAAGUCCAAAGCCCCUCCAAGCUUGCUCUUCCUCUCCUUUUUCUUCUUCCUCUUCUUUUUCUUCUCUUUCUAGAGGUGUAGAGAGAGUGUGAGGGAGAGAAAUGAGGGUGAGAGGGAGAGGAAAUGGCCUAUAAACCCUCUCAUGUAACAAAAUCCACAUAGGUCCCUCAAAAAUCCAACCUGUGCACUGUCCGGGUUUAGGCAAUUUUCGCCCAGAGGAACCGAUCUCUCCCAGCUGGGACCAGUCCCUCAGGACCCUCCCGCAAAACAUGCUCUCGGGGACCGGUCUCUCCCAGCCAGGGACCGGUUGUCUCAAGUUUUGCCGCGACACUGUUCCGAGGGAGACCGGUCUCUCCCACCAGGGACCGGUCCCCAAAAGUAAAAACUCUCAGGACUUAGCCAAAAUCUAGAAAUUCGAACUUUUAGGUCGGAAUACAGUCUACGACCUUCCACCAAGUGUGGAAAAGCUCGGAAUCCAAGUCAAGCACUCGAACCUCGCAAUUUGCACAGGUCCAGUGUGUUACAACCCCACCCAGCCUAUUCGGCCCGAUUACAAACAGAAAAGAAAAAAAAAAAAAGAAAAUUCGAUCGCCAUCUCCCCUUCUCCCCUCACUCAAUCCACUGAAACCCUAGAUAAAGGGCCCUUUGCUCUCCUUCUCCUCCGCCACUGCAGCCAACGAGGUAGAGUUCUGGCGGUUACUAAAUGCUUAAAUAAAUAUUGGUAAAUUAGCAGCACUCUUUCCAUAUUAUACCGACACUCUUUAACCAUCACUAUAUACCUAGCGACCCCACAUAUAGCAACACUUUUUAAAAAUGUCGGUAAUUUAGCCAGCAACACUUUUUUGAUCUGUACCGACAUUUAAAAGUGUCGCUAUAUACCGUUUUUGUUGUAGUGAUAGUAUUAGAGCUAUUUUACUUCUCGUUGUUGUAUUUAGAGGCAUAAUAGUAGAGUUACUUCUUUUCCAGUUAUACAUAUAUAUGCAUAGAGGCAUGAUAGUAAUAGAGAUACUUUAUUUCACUUAUUUCUUUCCUGUUUUUUUAUUUUUCAGCAGUGGAUAUUAUCUAUACCUUAGUUGACCUAUUGGAGUAGUAUGUCCCUCUCAGCAGCGUUACCCACUAGGAACUAUAUGUUCAUAGUUCUCACCCCUAUUGGUUGAUUAUUUUUAUUUCACCACAACGGGAGAGGCUAGGAAUCGCAACAAGAAAGUUGCUUCUAAUUAGAGCCAGCUCGACUAAACAUUCUUAGAGGUAGAUCCGAUGCACCUUUCAUUUUGGAUGUAGUUGAAAGAAAUGUUCAUGUAGUUAUUCUUGUUAAACUUCCUUGGGAUAUUCUAGAGAUGUGUUGAGAUGUACCUUUUGAAGUUAUUGUAUACUAGUUAAAGGACUUCGCGCGAUGCGGCGGGAAGAAAAUAGAACAAUAAAUUAUAAUAACUAUUAAUAUUUUUUUUUCUAUUAUACAUUAAUAUUUUUAAAUAUUAUUUCUCUUAAUACUGAAUAAUUAAAUUAAAGAAUAAAUUAAAGAAUAACUUAAAAUAUAUUUCUUUCUAAAAAUAUUUAAACCUAAUAAAUAAAGUGAAUAAAUUAAUUUAAAAUAAAAUAAAAGCUCAUUACAGAAUUUAAAAAAAAUAUAUUAUUUUUCUAUUAUCAUCAAGGUAGAAUUUAUAAAAAAAAUAAAAUAAAAAAAUUAAUUGGAAUGAAAGUACUAUCUUUGGUAUCCUCGACAGCAACGUCUUUAUUGUGCCCUCAUUAACUUUUAUCGUCACACAUACAACUAAUAAAGUAUUUGAUUCCUAAAUUUUAAAUUAGUGAAAAAAUCAGUAGAUAAUUAUCAGAAGCAUAAAAAAUAAGACUAAUCAAAAGGUAUUCGAAAUCAAAAUAGAUAUUUUUUACACUGUAAAAUAAUUCAACUAUCAAAUAUUAUAUUAUUAUAUAAAUUAAUUUAUNNNNNNNNNNNNNNNNNNNNNNNNNNNNNNNNNNNNNNNNNNNNNNNNNNNNNNNNNNNNNNNNNNNNNNNNNNNNNNNNNNNNNNNNNNNNNNNNNNNNUUGUCUUAGCUUGUUCUUUUUAUAUUUUGGUUGAAUUUAUAUGCAUAAUCUGCAUUUUUCUCUGCUCAACUGGCUAUAUUGCUAAACCCGGAACAUCCUUUUUUUGGCAUAUCAUUUGAUUGCAAAAAUUACUAUUUUCUCCCUUUAUUUUCGCAGGCUUUGCUACAGAGAACGCUGUCGGAUUAUCAGAAAGCAGGUUUCGAUCCGAAAACAAGUAGUUUAGAGAUCCGAUUAAUUCAAAGCCAAGAUGACAUCCGAAACCCCACGAUUAAAUUUAAUGCUGAGAAAUACAAUUGAAGCUUUUGCGACACAUACUUCAAAUUUUAUUCCCUAUCAGUGUAAUGACAUUAUGAUUUAUCGGACGAUUUAUUUGGGGGCCGAAGCUUUUCCAAUAGCUUAGGAGGUGUAGUUAAUUAGUUGUGCUUGAAAUAACAGUCAUUUUAGUCCCACAUAUUUGUGACUGAAAUAUAUGUAGUUACUAUGACACCGCAAUAGUCCUACAUAGGAUGAGAAUGGAGUUGUCAUUGGGUAUAUAAGAGGACUCCAUCCUAGUAAUAAUAACUGGGUUUAAACAUUUUGGGCCGAUAGUUUUAGCCCAAAAGUUAUUAUUGCUAGCGGGUCCGGUUGUUACAGCUACAGUAUGAUUAAUUUAAACAUGGUUCCUCUUCAUUAACCGCACGAGGCAAGUGAUUUUUNNNNNNNNNNNNNNNNNNNNNNNNNUAUAGAGAGAGAGAGAGAGAGAGAGAGAGAGAGAGAGAGUAGGGCUAGAAUACUUGUAAAAGUAUCAUAGGGGUGAUACUUGUGUGUUGUUAGCCCUUGGAUGGAGAGAUGUGAUGUUGAGAUGAUGGUGGUAGGUGGUGGGAGGUGGAAUAGUGUUUAAUCCAAGGGCUAUUAAUAAUUAAAAAGUAGAUCCAAUGGCUUAAAACCUAAUAGCACCAUGAUGGUGAUACUUGUAGAAGUAUCAUAGCUCAACUCUAUAUAUAUAUAUGUAUGAUCAAAGAGGGAGAGAGGGGCCCACUACCCUUCUCUCCCUCAAGCGGGGUCCACUACCCCCCCUCCCUCACACGGUCCACCAUGAGGUGCCCGCCCCGUGGACCGCGUGCAGGAACGCCGGUGAGCCCCGCCAGCUCCCCUCACGCAGGGUCAACGAUGGGACCCGCCGAUUGCGGAGAGGGCAGCGUUAGUGUUCCCCUUUCAUGUUUAUAAAUGACUAGUUAUACCGGGAAUAGGUACAACUAUGGAUUUUUGUAAGAACAAGGGUAUUUUUUAUUUGGAUGAAAUUGUGAGUAUAAGCUGGAACUAGAAAAAUUGUGUUUGGAUGGUUAUUGGGAAUAAGAGAAAUAGUUGAUGGUUAUAAAUAGAAAAUAAUGAUAUUACCUCUAUAAUUGAAUUUAAAUUUUUAAAUUUUAAACUUAUAAUUUUAAAUUGAAAAUUUUAACUUUUAAAUUUUAAAAUUUGAAAUUAAAAUUUAAAAUUUAAAUAUUCAAAUUUAUAAAUUUCAAAUUUUAAAUUUUAAAUUUAAGACCAAAUUUAAAUUUGAAAUAUAUAAAAUAUCAAAUUUAAAAUUUAAAAAUUUAUAAUAAUAAUUUUAAAUUUUAAACUUUAAAAUUUACAAUUUCUAAUUUACAAUUUUAAUUUUAAAAUUACAAAAUUUAAAUUCUAAAUUUUAAAACAAAACUCUCUCUCUCUCUCUCUCUCUCUCUCUCUCUCUCUCUCCAGUGGGUGGGAACAUCCCACCCCUUACUGGGUUAUACCAGGUAUAACCCUGUAAGGAGUGGGAACAAUAGUUCCCACCAUAUCAAAUUCUUGUUUGGGUAUAAAGGGGGAUAACCUCCUUAUCCCCCCCUUUAUACCCGAUCCAAAUGGGGUGUUAGGGUUUUGAGGCCUGUAAAUAGAUGGCCGAUCUCAUUGUAUUGGUACCUUUUAAUUAAUUAAUAGUUAAUUUUGUUGAGCAUUAUAGCUUGGAUUAGGGAGGUAAGGUAUAUCAUCGGAGGCAUCAUAAUCCCUCAAAAAAUCACUACAAACAUUUGGUAGGGAGGUAAGGUAUAUCAUCGGAGGCAUCAUAAUCCCUUGAAGAAUCACCACAAACGUUAGGUAUCAACCAACAUUAGGACUAAGAGAUAGAGGUGGAUGAUUUCUAGAUGAAACAAAUGAGGGAACGAAUUGGUUAAUAUACUACAGAAUUUGUUUAUAUCCAGUAAGGAUACUUAGCUAAUGAUCAAAAAUAGGGGAUUAAUUAAGGAAUCAAUAUUAUUCAAAAUAUGAAAAUCUUCAGUGUUCUUUACAAAGGAAAACUCUCUACAAGAAAACUCUUAACAAAAAUAAUGGGCUUUCAUAGAUUUUUUUUUUUUAAAAAAAAUUGGUUCAAUCAUGCUAAGAAAAUGAUUAUAGAUACUGGUGCACAAUAUCUAAAAAUACCUCAUAGCAUGUUAUAUACUAUAAGAAAAAAAAUCUCACCUCCCUAGUUGUGGUGUCUUUUUUUUUGGUUUAAUUUGAACAGUGAUAGUGCUCUCACUAUUCUCUUAAAUACAGUAUUAUCAGAUAUUUUUGCUGUAGUACUUGUAGUCUAUGUUGAUGUUCUCAAUUAAUUUGCAUGAUUUGCAGGGUCAUCCUCCAGAACAAUUUAAGAUUGUGAUACCUAAGAUACCUGCAUAUUUCACGGUAUGCACUUUACAGUGUAAUUUAGUUUCGUAUUUUUGUAUUAUGAAUGUUACUCUUCUUAUUUACCUUUUCUUUGUUUUGUUCUUUUCCCUUCGACCACAUCUACAGUAAUCUUAGUUUAACAUGCUACUAAAAUAGAUAUCCCUUGGAUUGUUUUUCAUGUGUUAGAUGUUUAAGCCAUGUUGUCGCACUAAUAUUGUCAUCUCUAUGUUUACGGGGUAGUUCUGAAGAUGACUUAAAGAGCCUUCAAACUUGGUGAUUUUUUAUCACUCCAAGUUAGUCUACUUUAGCCAAAAUCAAACAAGAAAUGUUGUGCCCUGGUUGGCACAGUACAUGCUUUGAGGUUUGUCAUGCUGACCCUUGACAUGAAAUAGCAUGCUGAUGGCCUUAUUCAUCGGCAUGAUGUAGCAUGCUCGGCACAGCUCAACACUUUAAAUCCAUGAUGUGGCUCUUUCAAACGAUUGAUUGAAGGACAGAGCAAAACUUGAAACGGUGAAGGCUACUUUGGGUCGGAUGAAAGACUAGUAUAGUAGUCUCAAUCUAGAUGGGGGACUCAUCAAAUCAUCAUUUUUUGAUUAAUAGUCUAAAUUUGAUACCAUUAAUCUUUCUCAACCUUACUCAUAUAUAUGAUUUUCUAUUGUUUCAACACGUUAGAUCAUUUCAUCCUCAUACAUGGAAACUCUAUCCAUUGUGAAACUUAUUUCAAAUAAAUGCAAAUUUGCAACUUGUACCAUUACCUCACCUUACUUACCUCAGUCCCUUUCUUUCCAGAUAAACUAAUUAAUUUAAUUCUUUCCUACUUUAUAAGUUGGCUACCUAGCCUUAUUUGUUGCUUUGGGGUGUAACUUGCAGGGGACCGGAGAUCUGAUGACUGCACUUUUGCUAGGAUGGAGCAAUGUAUGUUUACCGUGUACCUUUUGCUAGAUAUCUGCAUGAAUUUGACUACUAAUCUCACAGUAUCAUUAAACUCUGGAUUUUAUGUUGCUUUUUUUUUUUAAAUUUUUUUAUCAGAAAUAUCCUGAUAAUCUUGAGAGAGCAUCAGAAAUAGCUGUAUCCAGUUUACAGGUAAUCUGUCUCUCAUAUUCUACUAUAGCAUUCCCCUUUUGCUUUUACAUUUCCUGAUCUACUGAGCACCGACUUGCUUUAAAGUUUUCUCUAUUUGAGCCUUCUUGGUUUGCCUAGUUUGUUUGUGCAAUCAUGUUUGCAACAAGAGUACCAAGCUUUUAUCCACAUGUAGAGUUAGGAAUAUUGGGUUUGAUCAAUAUUUGCCAAGUAUUUUUGCAGCUAGAGGAUCCUUCUCUGAUUCACAUGCCAUAGAGUUAUAUUUACACUGUAGAUCACUUCAGUGAAUCCUUCUCAUAGAAACUGAAUAGCUCAAACACGAGUUGAGAUGGUGUGCUUUUAGAAGCACGGAGACUUCUGUACUUGCAAGUUUUUCAAUGAGAGACUUCUGAAUCGACAAUCGGUUUUGGUAGACUCUAGACUAUUUAGAGUCUCAAGAAAUUUUUACACUUUUUCAAUAUCAAUUACCUAGUGACUUGAAGGGCUAAAAAAUCGAUGAUUUUAAUGGUUGAUAUGAGCUGUUUGCAAGUUUAACGGUAUAAAACAUCCAAAUUAGGUGAAAUUUUAAUUAAAAUUUUUUUAUUAGUAAUCUAGUAUCUCUAAUUUGAAAUUUUAGUGUUCUAUAAUCAUUUUUUAUGAAAUUUUUAUUUUUCAACCGUUCAGUUUGAAGCCAUUCAAUCACUAUGUAAAUAAUAUAAAAAAUUCAAGAAAUUUGUUUUCUAAAUAGUGUAGAUAAUCAAGAUUAAGUUUAAUGGUUCUGACCGUCGAUUCAGAAGUCCUUUCAUCAAAAGUAACUUGAAAGCAUGGAGGCCUCUGUGCUUCUAAAAAUGCUCCAGCUCAAAGUCAUUCUAACACUGGUUUAAAUCAUAAAAAAGACUCCAACUUUCCCUAUAAAGUUCUAUGACUUCAAUGAAAAUUGUUUGGCUUUAAGCGGGCUGUGAAAUCUGUUGUUAAACAUCAACUAGACCAAAAAAUUAACUUAAAAUUCAUAACUCAUCUACAACUCCUUCAAGAAACCAAAUAGUUAAUCCCUUUGAAUAAGUCUCCAUGUGCAUCCCUUACAUUCCAAACAAUGAUUCAACAAGUUCAGUCCUUCCUACUUCAUCGAUCUCUGUGAUCUGUGAAUGAAAUUCGCCCGCGGGUGCACUGUACAAUCUUCCAGCAAUUGAGCAAUAUAGGAUGAUGAAUUUGGUCUACGAGCGUCUCUGUUCUUUCUUGUCUUAGCUUGUUCUUUUUAUAUUUUGGUUGAAUUUAUAUGCAUAAUCUGCAUUUUUCUCUGCUCAACUGGCUAUAUUGCUAAACCCGGAACAUCCUNAUAAAACAUAAUAACUAAGUACAACUUUUACAGGCAAAACACCAAAUUUUGAUCCUAAAUUAAAUUUUUUUGAAAUGUCCUCAAAAUUGGCAAAACUUAUAUAUGGUGUCGCAGUUGUCAAUAGAGUUAAAGAGUCAAAAAAAUUUAAUUUAGGAUCAAAAUUUGGUGUUUUGCCUGUAAAAGUUGUACUUAGUUAUUAUGUUUUAUAUGCUUAUUGAAGUAGCUGUUAUUUUAUACCAAUUACUAUAGUUGAUCAAAGCACAUGGAAUUAUGAUUCAGUACCAGCAACAGUUAAUAUUUCUUAUAAUAAUAAUAAUAAUAAAAAAUAUAUAUUUGUUAAUAGAAGUUGGACUGGAAUAUCAUUAAUAGUUUUUACCGUCUUUUGCUAUCGAGUUUUUAAUCUUUGGAUGAAAGAUUAUAGGGUUAGGAUGAUAGUAGGGUUAGGAUGAAAAACCCUAUUAAUAUUAUUAAUAGGAUUUGUCUGAAAAAGCCCUGGAAGGGUUUAGUGGUGAUUCCCCUAGAGUUGAGUGGAUGGUUGGUUAAAUAGUAUGAUCCAAAGGGUAAAAUUGAUUCAAGUGUAGAUUUAACGGCUAAAAAAUCGAUAGCAAAAGAGUCUAAAUACUGUUAAUAGCAUUUCAGCUCAACUUUUGUUAAUAGAUCGUAAACUAUUGCACCGAAUCAUUUUUUAAUUUAAGAAUAGUUUAUGUUUUUGGAAACUUAUUUGGCUCACAUUUUGUGAAGCUAAAAGGUUAUCACUCUUGUUUUCUGAUGUAUUCUUGUUUGCAAAGAACAUUUGAUGCCAUGUGGUUCUACACUUCUACUACACCUUCAAUCAGUGCCUUCCAAAACAUUGAGAAUUUUUGCCUUUGCGGACUUCGCCCUAGUUUGGAAUUGCUGUCUAAAAGCAUCUGCUUUCAUACUUUGAAAGGCUCAAAAUGUUUGGAAGCGCUUUUUAACUCUUUUAUUUUUUUAUUUUUUUUAUUUUUUUUAUUUUUUUUAUUUUUAUGUUUUGGACCAUACAAAGUAUGAAGCAGUGUUUUUAAACAUUACAGUCCCAAAUUAGGUCUUGUAGAUGUGAGAGUAUAGAUUUAGGCAUGUUUUAAAUGCUAGGGAUAUAUUGAGAUGAUAACAUAGCUUGUUGGAUGUGAGAGUUGAACCUAGGAGAGAAAUUUAGGAAAAAUUAAUCUGUGGGUCAUUUCAGAUAUUGAACCCUAAAAUUCUAACUAAUCCAAUCACUUGGACACCCUUUGGUGAGAAUAGAUAAAAUAUAGAAUAUAUGAUAUACCUAUUGAAGCUUAUUUAGUUCAAAGAGUUCGAGUCAUAAGGUUUGGGCUUAACAAUACGCAUCGACUCUUUUCUUUUUACAUGUGGGACUAACUUUGACGUGCAAACAUUCCUAAAAGGAGAGAGAGAGAGAGAGAGAGAGAGAGAGAGAGAGAGAGAGAGAGAGAGAGAUUCAAUACUAUUUGAUGAGAAUGGAUAUAGUGUUGUAUAUGACACAUCCGUUGAGAGAGAGAGAGAAUCAACACUAUCUGAUGAGAAUGGAUAUAAUAUCAAAUAUGACGCAUCUGUCAAAAUUCAUUUGAUAUAAAAGUUUAAGUUAUAAGGUUUCGGCCUGAUAGUAUGUAUCGACUAUUAUCAUUUUCUUUUCGUUUUACAGUAGGACUAUCUUUUACACAUGAACAUACCGAGUAAGAGAAAGAACGAGAGAGAAAAGAGAGACUUGUCAUGGUGCUACCAUGACCGCGAGGUGGGAAGCGUAGGAGUAGGAGAAAAUGGAGGUACCAGAGGAGACAAUAGAGGAUCCAUGGCAAGAGAAGCAAUGGCGGCGACGCGCUUGGUAAAGAAGAAGGCUAUUCGGGUUUUGGGCUCGCGCUCCCUCACUGUAGCCUCACUCAAUCCGCCUCCGAAGCCGCAGCGGUGCGAUCAAUGGGAAAGGGUCGGUUCGGGUGCCGGGUUCGCACCUCCUCACUAUGACGACGGGACCCGGAUCCGCAUUUAGCUUCGGAUGCGGGUUGAACUAUGUGUGGGCCGGCCCAAGUGAGGGAUCCAGCGUGAGACAGAAUUGAACCCACUAUGGCUCAUGUAGUUUAAAUACAAUUACAUUCAUAUCCCUGUCCAUUGUAACUCUUACAAUCUGGUCCUCGUAAUUAGUAGAGUAUAAAUAGCAAGCUAACAAUGUAAUGAAUCAAGCAGAAAAUUGAAUAAAAUUCCUUUUUCCCCAAUUAUCUCUCUUCUCUUCUUCUCCUCUCGAUCCCUCUUCUUCUCCUCUACUCGAACUCCUCUCUCCUCUUCUCUCAAGCUCCUCUCUAUCCCUGGUUCGUACUCAUCUCAUCCCCGUCAAGCUGAUGACCAAUUGAAUUGGAAGGUGGAGCCAUUUCCCAUCAUCUCCAAUUCUACUCAUCCUCAGCAUCAACCAGCUUCACAGGAGAGCAAUUGGAUCAGGUAUCCAAUUUACAUCAUCUCCCAUAGCCAUCCAAACUGAUACGGUGGUUGCUAUAGGAUCAGUUUAUUACAAGACUCAACACAAUCCGAUGAGAAUGAAUAUAAUAUUAAAUAUGACACAUGAAGUUUAAGCCAUAAGAAUUAAUUUGGUUUGAUAAUAUAUAUCGACCAUUAUCAUUUUACAUGUGGGACUUACUUUUACACAUCAACAAACUAAGAGAGAGAGAGAGAGAGAGAGAGAGAGAGAGAGAAGGGUUUCAUGCAAGAAACUAGAUACUUGACAUGCAAGUAUCUCUCCAUAUUCUAUUAUAACCAUAUGGAUUUCACUUCACAAACCAAAAUUUAAUUUGUCAUUGGUGAUUCAAAACCCUUAUCACUUAGUGCACUAUCAAAUGCUAAAUGAAUCUUUUUUCUCCUUAUUUUGAACCAAUCUUCACAGAAUAAACUAAUGACCAAGUAAGAAGAGGCUACUAUAUAUGAAGUAAUGCUUUAGAAUGAUAGCAUUUGCCAUAAACCUUUGUACCCCAAUCAAUUGUUCAUAGAGUUAAUUGCUUGAAGCUUUGAGAACACAUUAACUCUUUUUUAAUUCACAAGCUUCAUGGGCCUCAUCAUCGCAUUGUCUUCAUGAUCCAAAAUCUGCAUUGCAAUUAUGGAAAUAAUAAUUGAAAAAAAAACAAAAGUUAGCUAAACCUUGGAAUGUGUAUUUGAAAUGAAAAAAAUUACACUAUUAUACCAAUACCAAUGAAAGAAAAUUAACAAUAGAAGAGCCAAAUGCUUGAAUCUAUGGUUUAGAUUUUGAUUUAAUAUCAUUUUUAUGACUAUGAGUAUUUACAGUGGUUACAGUAAUCAGGGUGAUGAUAUUAAUAGCUAUGAAAGUGACUAGAUUUAUUGAAUGUGAUUAGCGCAUGGUAAAUUUAGAUCUAAUAAUAUUGUUGAUCCUUUGGUAAGAUUGGACAAGAUUUGCUCAAACUUACCUAAUCUGAGACGGAGCCAUAGUGAGGCACACAGUGGCCACGGCCUUUCUCAACUUUUAAAAAUUACAUAUAAGUCCUUUAUAGUAAAAAUUAAAAUAUUAUAAAUUUAAGUUUUAGGAGGGCCAAAUUGAUUUGUUUUUUAAUAAAAUUUGUGUUCCAAUAUUUUUCCGAACCCCUUGGAUCUUUUCCUUUAGCUCUUAUAGUCUUGCUCCUUCUUGAGUGUAUUGUCGGUGCUAUUCUUAGUAAUAGAUAGCCGGUAAACAUGACAAACUUCUUUUUCUUACAAUCUGAGGUCGAAUCUUUUUUUUUUCUGCCAAAUCUAAAUAUAGGCUAAAUUACAAAAAGCCUUUCUUGCGUCUAAUCCCAUCUUAAUGACACUCCUACAUUAAAAGUUAGUGUUAAUUACCUCCCUGCAUUUAAUUUGUCUUUGUUUCAAAAUAAGUUCAAAAAUUUAGAUUAAUUGUUGAAUUCAGCUUUAAAACUUUAUAGAAAUAAAUUAGUAGAUAAGUUAGUUAUAAUUAUGUAGUAGAAUCAUAAAAAAUUGAAUAAAUUAUUUUAAGAUAUUAUUAACUUUGAUAGUAUUAGCAAAAUAAGAGAUUGUUUUUAUCUAAUUUUUUACCUGAGUUACAAGUUAAACAAUGUAAUAUAUCAGCUGGUUUUUAGUAAAACUUUACAACCUAAUUUGCCGAUUAUUUUAAAUUUUCAAAUCUAUUGAAAAUAGCUAUAAAGUACCGAAAAAUAAUUAAUGCAAAAAAUAAAUGAAUUUUGAUCUAUACUUACAUUUUAUACAUAAACCAUUAUUAUAUUUUAAGUGGGUAGGGACCACUACAUCCUAUUUACAUUCUUGUAGUUCAAUCAAAUAUCUUUUCUAUCAUAAAAAUUAUUUGGGAUAAUUGCCUAUAUAACUUUUAAAACUUUGAAAAUAUUUUAUUUAUUCUUUUUUUUUUCUUUCCAAUUUUCCUCUCAUAUGUUCAUCCGUUAUUCUAAAAUAUCCCUACAGUUACCAUCCGUUAAGUUAACUUAGAUUAAACAUGAGUUAAAUAUCUACUAGAGUUAAAAAAAUCAAAAUAACUCUUUAUCCUUAACUUAAGGGCAANAUUUAUUCUUUUUUUUUUCUUUCCAAUUUUCCUCUCAUAUGUUCAUCCGUUAUUCUAAAAUAUCCCUACAGUUACCAUCCGUUAAGUUAACUUAGAUUAAACAUGAGUUAAAUAUCUACUAGAGUUAAAAAAAUCAAAAUAACUCUUUAUCCUUAACUUAAGGGCAAAUAAGAAAUGUCGGUGAUAGUAGAAGGGUAUAUUUGAAAAGAACAAAUAAGAAAAGUCGGUGAUAGUAGAAGGUGUCGAAUCGUUGGCGCUAACCAUUAAUCUCAAAAGUUCGAGUGUUAAAAAUAUUUAAACACCGUUCUCUAAUAGCUUAAGCUUUUAGAGUACAACGAUUGUUUCACAUGGUAUCAGAGAAGAAGGUCCUGAGUUCGAGUCACGCCAGGCUCCUAGCAUAUUAAUUUCCUCCCAUUUAAUUCAAGCCCAUGUCAUGGGCCGAUUAAAAAGUUUCGAGCCCAGACGUGAGGGGGAGUGUUAAAAAUGUUUAAACACCGUUCUCUAACAGCUUAAGCUUUUAGAGUACAACGGUUGUUUCACAUCGAGCUAUUAGAAAUAUACAACUAAUUCACUUAAAAUGUACAGAUACAACGCCCAUGGGUCUCAAUUGUGACUCGGCCUAACCAGCCUCACGCUACUUCGAACAUAAUUCGGCCUAACCAGCCUCACGCCACUUCGAACAUGAUUCGGCCCACCCAGUCUCACGCCAUUCUGAAUAUGACUCGGCCCAACAUGACCUCUCGCUACAGGGUAGAAUGCUGGUCCAUUUAAGCCAACCGAAAUGAGGGGAGAAAUGAUAUAUAUCCUGAUCGGGAGUCGAACUUGUGACCUUUCCUUCACGUGUGGGGGUAUCAAAGUGAUAUGUGAUGCUCGAUCUUACAUACAUAUGACUAUACAAGGGAUUGUUUGGUUGUUUAUAAUUACAGCUGUAUUGUAAUUGUAAUUAUAUAUAGUUUUGAAUUUGGUCUUUAUUUUAAUGCAUUUAAAUUCAAUUGCAAGAGAAGGCUUAAGUGUAGUAGCUAGAACUACGCCUAAUUUGGCCCUUGUUCCAAUUGCAGCACUUAGAGAGAGUAAUUUUAAACAAAAGGUAAACUUUUCCCUCCAACAACUUUUGUAAUAAUUUUUUUUUCCUUUUUAUAUAUUAGACAAUAUCACCGUCCCACAUAUUAAAUAAUAAAAAUUCGUAAAUACACUUUUCAACCGUGUAUAAUCUAGCAAAGUAUUUAUAGUUACAGUACUUUAUAUAUAUAUAUAUAUAUAUAUAUAGAGAGAGAGAGAGAGAGAGAGAGAGAGAGAGAGAGAGAGAGAGAGGAGCUUCUUUUAUAAGCAUGGAAGUAUUUGUGCUUAUGACUUUUAACAGUCGGAUCGUCUCACGAUCUGUACAGUACUAUUAACGAUAUGUCCUAUUAAGUUAUCUUUACUAGUGCCGUACGAAUCUUGAAGUGAUCCAACGAUUAAAAAAUCACAAACACAUUGAGCUUCUAUACUUUUAAAGGCACAAGAACUCAAAGCUCUCUCUCUCUC